rnacentral:lncRNA from 1 species
GAAAAAUAAAGGGUAAUUGAGCAUACCAGGAUAACCAGCUGGUGGAUGUCCACUAUGAGUUGGAUAAGCUGCCGGAGGGUAUCCUCCAGGAGGAGGAUAUCCAGCAGGCGGAUAUCCACCAGGAGGAGGAUAUCCCCCUGGAGGAGGAUAUCCAGCCGGUGGGUAGCCUUGUGGAGGAUAUCCAUGAGGAGGAUAUCCUUGUGGAGGGUAGGGUCCAGGCGGAGGAUAAUGUCCAGCAGCAUAGCCAGCGAGACUAGAGAACAGCCCUUUGUCACUUGACUCGCCUUCAUGCUUGUCCCUACCACCUCCCAUUUUUCUUUAACUUGAAAUUAGUGAGUUUGAGUAACUAGUCUGUUAAAAGUUAGUAAAACAAAACACUGUCAGCUGAAACACACUUCAAGGGAAAAUAUUGAAAAGAAAACGCUGAAAAGGAAAACAGUAGCAAAUGCUAUGAUAUGAGUAGAGUAAUCAAGGCUUGGCUGGUUUCAUAAAGUUGAGACAAGAAAAAGUGAGAUUAUGAAGAGAAAAUAGGAGAAGAUCAAGAAAUUUCAAUGACAUUCAAGUUCCAUUAUUUACAAUGAAUUCUGAAGUCCCAUAUGUCAAACAGAGACAAGUUUUCCACUUCCAUUAAUAAUGAAUUAAUCAUAAAAUAGCCAUACUCUCUCUGCUAUUAAUUAACACUACUAAUUUGAUCAGGAUUCCAUACAGGAUUCAACAGUUCUUUUAGGAUUGUUUUAUAAUUUAAAUGUAAAUUUUGAUUGAAAUUUAAUAUAUAUCGUGAUUUUGAAAUGCGAUAAAAUCUUUUUAUUUAUAUAUAAUAAGAUUACUGCUUUCAAUGUGAUAAUAUCUUAAAAUUUAUUACCAGAGUAAAUUUUCCCUUUUUAAUAAACUGAUCAAAAACCAAUUCAAUUUUAUAUGAAAAGCUGAAAAUAUUCAUAUUUUUCAAUAUCUGAAUAUCAUGACAGUCAUUUGGACCAAAAAAAAAAAAGCGCUACUCCACCAUUAACUUUUUUAUCUAAAUCUUCACAUUUGCUACAUAAAUUUAAGUCACGUGAUAAAUAUAGAGAGCCGUGAUUCUAAAAUACAAAUAUUCAUAUUUUCUCAAUUUAUUUAUUUAUUUUUUAAAUUUCACAAAACUAUAUCAUUUUUCUUUUUUUUUUUUAACAUUUAAUUCUCUUCUUUAUAUUCUAAAAUUAUUUUUCAUAUUUUUUAUUUUUUGUAAUUAAAAAUAAUGAUACAUAUAUUUUAUAAAAAAUUAAUUAUAAAAUAUUUAAAAUUGUUUCGUUGUCGGCAAACAUGGGCGGUUUCACUGAUGCACGUUGGUGCACUAUACAAUGUGCUGCAACACAAUUGGAAUGUAUGAAACAUUUUCGUUUCUUUAUUAUCUGAAAUAACUUUCAAAGAAGUUGUUUUAUCAAGUCAAUUUACGCAACGCAAGGUUGAAGCCUGGAAUGAUUUGUUAAUUCAGACCAGGGUUUGAAAGCGUCAAAUCUGUCAAUCCUUAUAGCCGACUAUGAUAAUGGUAGGAUUUUUUGCUUCCUCAUGAACCAAGAAUGAUUGUUAGCAAUGGCUGUUUGCUAGUUGCAAAUAUGGGGUUUUCAAUGCAUUCAAGAAAAUGCUAUGAAGUUUCAUAUUAACAAAAUGGAAGAAGGCCUAAAACUCAAUUAUAUUCUCGAAUUUGAACUUUGAAAUCAAUUUUUUUUUUUUUUAGUAUGAAACUUUUUGCAUAUAUGCACACAUUUUUUUUUUAACAAAGAAAGUCGUAAUCUAAAAUAAGAAAAGGAGUUGUUGGUGCUAAAAUCUUAUUUCUACAUUUUAAGUUGAAUCUAUUUUGAUAUGUGCAAGAUGAGAGCCAUCUGCCUCAAUUUGGGAUCUUUAGUCCUGCCGCUUUCCUUUCUUCUAAUUUAUUACUGUACUUUUCUGGUACAACCUCCUGUAAAUUUUUGCACCUUCGAAUUCUGCAUGGAUUUCUCUUUCAGUCCUGAUACCCAUUGGAUUGUUCAAUAACCAUCCCUCAUCAUCACAUAGCACCCUUGGAUCAACCAUGUCAAUGUGUUGAAGUGCACCACACUCCGAGUCAAACUGUUUUCUCAUGUCAACAGCAACUUCAAGCACAUCAGAUUGUAUAAAAACCUGCCCAAGCACAAAGAAAAACCUUUUCUAAUCAACGACGAAGAUUUACAUAUUUUGAAGUGGAAAAAACACUAAACAGAAGCUUCUUUUGUGCUUGUGAUAUCCAAAUGCAUGAUCUAUCACUUAAAUGUCCUAAUAAACUGCUCAAUGCUGUUUUUUGUUUGAUUGACAGAUGCAUACUCCAAGCAACUUAAGCACAAGCGGAAGUACCAAAAAAGGAUUUUAAGACUAGAGUUUGCUGGGAAUAAUUCAGUCGUCUAAAUACUUAAGGCAUCAUAAAACAGGAUGAUCUAUCAAGGCAUAUUUCACAUGAUAUUUACUUUAAUAUAAAUUUACCAUAAGAAAUAAAUCAUAACAGAAAUUGGCACUAUCAAACAGUAACUGCAGAAGCCUGAGAUCAGUUUAAUAAGAUCCCGCAACAGAUAAUACCAGAAUAAAUUUCUUUUUUGAGCAUGGAUUUCUUCAUUUUUAAAAUCUUUAACGCCAUCUUUUGAGCAUGAUGUAUGAACUUAUAAUUACAAUUAGAUUUUAAUGGUACAUGAUUGAAUUUUCGAGCUCUAAUUAAUUAUUACAUGAAUCUUGAACAAGACCACCGGGAGAUAACUAAUACUAAAGCUUUAUAUUUGAUCAUCUUGAGUUCAAUCAAAGGUUUGGAUUAUAUAUAUCAUGCUUUACUCAAGGAAAAAGUGUUGAUAACGUAAUAAUAAUUAUGAUACAAUUUUUAGUAUACAGUUGAUAUCUCCCCUUUAUUCUUGAUUGAUUUUUUUUUUUUUCAAUUAAUAAGAGUUAUUCUUUUUUAUUUAGUAUUGUUCGGUUUUUGUGAAAAGUAUUUUAAAAGUAAAAUCUUGAAAGCAUUAAGCAGAUGUGACAGAAUGCAUUUUAAAAUCAUUCGAAAAAAUAUUAGAGAUAGAGAAAUUUUAAAAUUUUCGUUUAAGAAUAAAUGAAUAUUGAGUAAUAUUGUUUUUUUUUUUUUUACAAGACAAAUCAAAAUUUAAAGGAUUAAAAAAAAUUGUUAUAAGUUUUGAAAUCAAAUCUCAACAUUAUAAGAAUUUAUCUCUUAAGAAAAUAAGUGAAUUAUUUGGAUUAAACCAGAUAUGCUAUUCAUUUAAAAAGUUAUAAGCUUAGGUAUAUUACCUCAUGUGUUACGCAAAUGCACAACAAGAAAGAGUCAAUUAUGCUUUCACCUUUUACUAAAAAAAUCUUCUAAGUGAAAACAAAAAAAGGACCCUUGAAUUUUCUCUUUUUCUUCGUUUUUCAUGCCCGAAGUCAAGGUAAUUAGGAGGGUGAAUCUCAGACAAAAGUUGCAGAAGUCUCCAAAAAUGGCAUUAUGAACCAACAUGUUGAACAAAAUUUUGCUCAAAAAGUUAAAAUUUGGCUGCAAAAAUCAAGGGCUAUGGACAGUUAUAUUGUAUGUGCAAGUGUCACAGGUCGAGACUUAACCUUCAAGCUUUGUAACUCCAUAACUCAAUUAUGCACUCAUCUAGCAUCCUAGAUAGUCUACUUAGUGCAAGUUACAUCCUUAUGAGGUAUUAUUCGCUUUGGUCCUUCUGGUCUCACGAUUUUAUUCAAUAAAAGUAUCCUCACGCCAAGUGCUUUGAAAAAAUUAGGUAAAGUGACCAGUCUUCGUGACGAGAGUAUCAUGAGCUUGAGUGUGAAAGAAUGUCAUGUCAAGCACUCUAAAAAGAAGUAUGUAGGGUGCUCUAAUCUCUCUAAAAGAGAAUAGGCAAGGUGCUCCAAUAUCACAUUAGACACGAAAAGGGAUUCAUUGGAGUGUACAAUGAUUCACAUAUUUCUCUCAUUGUGAUAUACUUUUUGUAAGAUAAAACUGUGAGGUAAAAAGAGUCAAAGCGGAUAAAAUCUACAAGGAUGUGAAUCAUAACAAGUGGACUGAUCUAAGAUACCAGAUAAGUGCAUGCUCAGGUUUUAAAAUUGUACAAACUUAAAGGUUGAAUCUUGACCCGUGACACAAGCACAAGAAAUUGUGCCCCAAACCAUUAAACCACUCUUCACGUGAACAUGCAAAACUCUUGCGGUAGGUUGUUGUUGUCCUUGUUGAUAACUCAAUAAAAACCCAACAAUUUUAAACAAAAAGGGAAAAAGGACCAAUAACAAAUGUUAAACAUGAAAAAACCCUAGGUGUUGAUAUAUAGUACAUUGAUUUUAUGACUUUGACUCUAAGUGGGGGGGUUUUUUUUUUUCUCAUUUCUUGAUUUUUAAGAUUCCUCAUUAAAAAAAAAUCAUUUUCAAUCCCAAUUUUUCUAUAUACGACUGUGGCAGCUACUUUCUUUUAUAUAUUAAUCAUAAAAAAUUUUCUUUUCCAUAUACAUAGAGUUAAGAAAGGAUAAUGAAGGAUGAUUGGUGAAUGGUGUAGAACAAUCCUCCCUAGCCUCAAUCAAAAAGUUUCAUGAACUCUUUUAAAGAAAAAUUAGAAGAUUUUGUCCACACUUAGCUACGGGAUAAAAAAAUUCUUAUUUAAAUACGCUUUAAGUUUUAAAAAUAUUUAUAUCUUUUUGCAUAUAUUUUUUAUAUAAUUACUUAAACCUCUCAUAAGUCUAUUUUAAUAAAUUGAAAUGUAAGAUCAAUAACAAAAUUAGUAUUUAAAUAUUUUAUUUAGUAAUAAAUAUGCAUUUUUGUUUAUCAAAGAGUUGGGUUCAAAUCUCUAUCAUUCAAAAAUUAUAUUAAAAAAAAAAACUUAAGAUAAGUAUAGUUUUCGUGUAUUAAAUAAUUUUUUAUACAAUAAGAAUAUAUGUAUAAAACAAAUAUUUCAAAUGCAUUAUUUAGUCCUAUUUUAUGUAAUUUAAUUAAGUGUAUUAUUUUCACCCUUUUAUUUUUUUUUGAAAUUAUAAACAAUAGUAUAAAUAGAAUAAUUUUCAUAAAAUAUAUAAUUUAUUGAAAUAAUAUAUAUGCAUAAAAAUUAAAAUCAAUUUUAACAUUUAAAUUAUAACUAAUUCAUAUAUUAUAUGUGUCAUUUUUUUAUCAUUACAAAAUUAAUAGUUGAUUGAUAUUUAUUGCAUUUGAUUAAGUUCAUAUUUAUAUCAACGUUUUUAUUUAAUAAAAUUUUUAUCUCAUUUUAUUAUUGUGAAUUUUUAAUUUAAUUUUAAUUGAGAUUUUGAUGAUAUUUUUGUGAUUUUUAGGGAUUUUGUGAUUUUUUUUGUUAUUUUUUCAACUUUUUUUUAAAUUAAAAAAACUUUAAAAAAUCUUAAUUGUUACCAUUUGACAAUCAAUUUAAAGAAAAUAAUAAAAGAACCCAAAUUUAAUAUAUUGUUAUAAAUAAUUAUAGUUAAAUAUUUAACUUAAUAAUUAAUGUAUAUUUUUUUUACUAAAAAAAGUUAAAAACAUGCAUAUCUCUUCUAUUUUUUAAUUGUUAAUAUGCUCUUAGCCUUUUUACCCUCUCUUUAUACUAUGUAAUUGAAUAAAAUAUUACAUUUAUAAAUUCUUAUAAACUCGUAACCUUUAAACAUGGUUUCUUGCCUCUAUUUUCAAUAUAAAACUAUAACAACUGGUAAAUUUUUGUUCAAACAUAACAAGGUUUUUUACCCAUAUAUAUAUAUAUGUAUGAUUCUGUCUAUUUAAAGGCCAAACAUGUGUAGAUACCCAUUUGUGUCCGGUUCCAAUUGGGUUGAUUUCUUUUAUUAUUAGUUUUUUUGUUAUUAUCAUAGUAUAUAUUAUAAUAUAAUAUUAAGGUAUACUAUUAUUAUUGUUAUUAUUAUUAUUAUUAUUAUUAUCAUUUUUUCUUUAUUUCUUUUCUUCUUUCUUUUUUACUCCAAUAUGCACGUGAAUAAAAAAGAUGGAAUCGGGAUCAAAAUCCCACAUGGUCAAAGUUUUUAAUGCAAAAUUGAUAACUAAAAUUUUAGACCAAAAAUCACGUUUGACAGAACUCAAUCCCAGGAUUCAACGUUGAGAUUGAUUUUUUCCAUUUCCUAAAACUGGUUCUAGUUGCCUAUAAAUUGAACUAACUUUACAAAUGAUAGACACACAGAGAGAUUUUUAGAAAACUGGUGUUUUGGAGAAUUUUUGGGCAGUAAGCGUUUUUGGGACUUUGAUUUUGAGAAUUCUGGGUUCGUUGGAAAUCUUUGCCUUAAAUUAGGGUUUCUGGGAUUAGAUUUAGUUUUUUGGGGUUUUUCUAAAGAAAUUUAGGCAAAUUUUGUGUAUUCUGGAAAAUUUUGGUGAAAUUUGUUUUUAUUUUUAGAAAUUUUGGGUUUCUAGGAUGAACAUGAGUUUUUCGAUGAAUUUUUCGACGACCAAUUGAAAUUUUUGGUAAUUUUUUGACUAAUUUUCUAAAAAUCGAUGGAUUUUUUAGUUUUCGAUUGAAUUUUUUUAUGACUACUCCAAAAAUCAAUGAAAUUUUUGAUUCCCGGUUGAAGUUUUAUGUAAUUUUAUUGGAGAAUUUUUAGAAAUAAGGGAGAGAGUUUCUAGCGUAGAAAGAGAAGAGGCAAAGAACUUCUGAGGUUUGAAAUGCAGAAGGUGGCUUAUAUAGUAGCCCAAAAUGAUGUUGUCUUGAACAACUUAGGAUCCGCUAAACCCAAGUUAGGAUUUACGUGUUGACCCACGUUAACCUGAACCAAAUCAUAAGGUUUUCUUUUUUUUUUUCAGUUUAUUUUUAGAUUUCAAUUAUUUUAUUUUUAUUUUUUAUUUUUAAGAUUCUAUUUUAUCUUUUUACAUACUUUUACUAGAUUUUUGUAUUUUUGCAUUGAUUUAAUAUCUCUAGAAAAAUAAAUAAAAAUCUUUUCUUUCUAAAAGAAUAAAAGAAGCUAGAUAAAAAAAAAAUCUUUUCAAGUUUUCAAAAAAAGAAAAUAUUUACAAAAACAAAAAAAAAUCCUUUCAAUAAGAAGACAAAAAAAUAAAAAAUAUCUUUUCAAAUAAAAAUCCUUAUAAAAUAAAUUCAUGAAUUCCAUCAAACUAUUGGAGAAUUUUCAUGGGUUUAAUUUUUUUAAUAGAAUCCACCAAACUAUUAGAAAGUUCUAUAAAUCGAUUUUCAAAAGAAAUAAAAUAAUAAUAAUAAAUAAUUUUUAUCUUUUAAACUAUUGAAGGUUAUUUUUCAAAGUAAGUCAUACUAAACUAUUGGGAGACUUUACUAAUUUUUUUAAAUAAAAUAAAUUAAUAAAUCUUACGAUGUAACCUUUUCAGAGUAAGACACUAGUCUUCAAGAAUACCCUUGAGAUAAAAAAAUUAUCUUAAAUUGUUACUAAACUAUUGGGACAAUUUUAUGUUUAAUUUUCAAUAUUAAAUAUUUUGGUAAAAUAUAAACAUUUUUAAGGCUUGGAUAAUCUGAAAUCAAACUAGUAUCAUCAUUUGGAUGGGCGUUGUAGGAAUGUUAUAAUCUUUUCCAAGUGUAACCGCACUCCCGAACCUAAACACUGGUUCCGUAGAUAAUAAUUUAUUAUUUAAAGAUACUUAAGUCAAUCUUGCGAUUUCUUUUUAAAUAGAACAGAUUCAAUUAGGUAGCUAAUCAUACUUAUACAAAAAAGAUUGAUGGUGACUCUCUUUUAAUCCAUAUCUAGCGAUAGGUCUUCGGAUCUAUACAUUAUGAUAAUUUGACAACUUCAAUAGGGACAAUUGAGAGUCAAGCUAGUAAAUGAUUUUUUAUUAUCCAAGCCUUGCUUAAUAAACUAGAGAUUAUCCAAGCCUUUUCAUAAUUGUGAUUGGAUUAGUGAUUUGUAAAUUCAUAAAAAAGAGAUAAUUUAUAGAUAUGGGCUCCUAAAAAGAAUAAUCUCAAACAAUCUAAAGAAUUUGAAUAGUAAGAUAAUAAAAGAAGUAUAUGUUCAGUUUAAAAUCAAACACCAUAAUUCAGCUUCAUAUCGUUCAAAAAUGAAUAGAGCAGUGGAUGCUGCAAAUAAGAACAUCAAAAAAAUUCUAGAAAAAUGACUGAAACAUACAAUGACUGACAUGAAAAAUUACUUUUUGCUCUACAUGCAUAUCAAACCUUCGUGCACACUUCUAUUAGGGUAACUUUUUUUUCCUUGGUUUAUAGAAUGAAAGGUGUAUUGCUAAUAGAAGUAGAGAUCCCAUCCCUAAGGGUCCUAAGAUAAGUGGGAUUAAAAGAAACUGAAUAGGUCUAAAAGUGCUAUGAAUAAUUAAACUUCAUUGAAGAAAAAGUAUUAGAAGCACUCUGUUAUGGCCAAUUAUACCAAAAAAGAAUGAUGAGAGCUCAUGACAAAAAGGUUUGACCUUGUCAAUUUCGAAAAAAAAAGUUGGUAUUAAAAAAAAUUCUUUCAAGUCAACAUGAUGAUAGAGAAAAAUGGACUCCGAAUUGGAAAAGAUCAUUUGUUGUAAAAAGAGCUUUUUCAAGAAAAGCCAUAAUCUUGUUAGAAAUGGAUGGAGAUAAACUUUCUAAUCCUGUUAAUUCUAAUAUCAUGACGAAGUACUUUGCUUGACCCAAAAAAAAAAGAGUUCAAGUUGAAAACCCACAAGGGUGGCUUCAACCCAAAAAAAAAAAAAGGAAGCUUAAGUUGAAAACCCCAAAAAAUGGGCUCAGAUCCAAAGAAAAAGUUCAAGUUGAAAACCUUGAAAGGCAAUUUAAAUUGAACAAAAGCAAACUCGGAUGAAAAAAUAUGGCAUCACUUGAAGGCAUACCAGAGACAAUGAAUUUUAAAGAGCUCUGAGAUGUUAGGGCAUCAUAUUUUGGUUGAGUUUUUUAAGAAAUCCAAGAUUUGUUGUCAUGGUUAUCUAAUCAUUUGUCUUAGGGUAUUGUUAUCCCAAAUAGCCAUCUCUAUACAUUUUCUUUUUGUUUCUAUACCAUCAUUUAUAAUUUAUUACUUAUCUAACUGAAUGAAAGCCAGCUUAUUUUUAUACAUUAUCAAUUUUCUUUAUACCUUGCCAUGAAUAAAAGAAGUGUAUAAUUUGUAUAUCAUAUUUUGGAAUUGAGAUAAUGAUCAAUAAUUGAACAAAGUCAUAAGAAAUUAUGUGUUACUUUGAAGGAUUAAAAAAGACAAUGACCAAAUAUGAAUUCCUCCAAAUAAGAGAAAACUAACUUUCAUAGCUUUCCUUAGGAUGAAGAUAAAUAUUCAGGGUAAUGAAAGAUGGAUUCUUUACCAAAAGUGUGCAGAAAUGAGAAUACAGAAUCUUUAGUACCAAAAUUGAUGUUUCAUUUGCAUCAUAGAUAGGGCAUACACUUACAUUAUUUAUCUGAUCUUGGCUCAGUCCAAACCAUUUCUUAUGACUCUUGAUUUUAUCUCGAUCAUUUAUUUUUGAUAUUGACUCGAUCAUGGUCACUUCAUUUUUGAACUGUGAUUUUGCCCUACCACUUGAUUUUGGUUUGGUUUAGGUUAUUUCUUAUGACUCAUGGUUUUGUCAUGGUUAUUUAUUUUUGACCUUAACUCGGUCCUGAUCAUUCCAUUUUUUACCUAUGAUUUCACCCCAGCUACUUGAUCUUGGCUCAGUCCAGAUCAUUUCCUAUGACUCGUGGUUUUGUCUCGAUCAUUUAUUUUUGACCCCGAUUUGAUCUUAGUCACUUCAUUUUUUACUUGUGGUUUCAUCCCGAUCAUCUGAUCUUGGCUCAAUUCAAAUCAUUCUUUAUGAUUCAUGGUUUUGUCCCGGAAAUUUAUUUUCGACCUCAACUUGGUCCUUGUUGAUUCAUUUUGGCUCAAAGUUUCAUUCCAGUCACCCGAUCUUAGCUUAGUCUAAAUCAUCUUUUAGAUUUAUGGAUCAUUCCUGAUUUGACUCAAACAAAAUGGGUAUCUAGGUUUUUGCAACAUCCCUAUCUAAUAAAGAUAUGCAAAGAAGGGUAACUAUAGACACUCAUUUGUGUUUGACCUAAUUAGGUCGAUUUCUUUUGUUAUUAGGAUUUUUGUUAUUAUCAUAAUAUAUAUUAUAUUAUAAUAUCAUGGUAUAUUAUUAUUAAUAUCAUUAUUAUUAUAUUAUUAUUACUAUUAUAUUAUUAUAUUAUUUUUUAUUUUUUCUUUCUUUCUUUCUUUUUUUUUUCAUUCUUUUCUUCUUUUCUUUUUGCUCCAAUCUGUAUGUGAACAAGAAAGAUUGAAUCAGGAUCAGAAUCUCACAUGAUCAAAAUUUUUAAUGCAAAAUCAAUUAUUGAAAUUUUGGACCAAAAAUCAUACUCGAUAGAACUCAAUCCCAAGAUUCAAGCCUAGGAUUGAUUAUGUUUGUUUCCUAAAACUGAUUCUAAGGCUACCUAUAAAUUGAACUAACUCUACAUAAGGUGGACACACAAUGAGAUUUUUAGAGAAUUGGUGGUUUGGAGAAUUUUUAGGUAAUAAGGGUUUCUGAGGCUUUGAUUUCAGGAAUUUUAGGUUCAUUGGAAAUCUUUGGGUUAAAUUAGGGCUUUUGGGAUUAGAUUUAGUUUUCUGGGGUUUUUCUAAAAAAUUUAGGCAAAAUUUGUGUAUUCUAAAAACUUUUAGUGAAAUUUGGUUUUUUUUUCUUUUUGAAAAUUUUUGGGUUUUUUGCAUUUUUGGGUUGAACAUGAGUUUUUUUAUUAAUUUUUUAACAAUCGAUUGAAUUUUCAGCCAUUUUUUGUCAAUUUUUUAAAAACCGAUGGGUUUUUCAAUUUUUGAUUGAAUUUUUCGAUGACUACUUUAGAAAUCAGUGGAAUUCUCGAUUCUCGAUUGAAGUUUUUAGUGGGUUUCUUGAAGAAUUUCUAAAGAGAAAAAAAAGAGUUUCUAGCCUAGAAAGAGAAGAGGUAGAGAACUUCUGAGGCUUGAAACGUAAAAUGUGACUUAUAGUAGCCCAGAACGACAUCUUAUUGGACAACUUAAGAUCCACGUUAACCUGAGUUAGGAUCUUGUGUUGACCUACAUCAACCUGACCUAAAUCGUAAGGUUUCCUUUUUUUUUUCAAUUUAUUUUUAAUUUUUUAAAAUUUUUUUAUUUUUAGGAUUCUAUUUUAUUUUUUUACAUAAUUUUACCAUAUUUUUGUAUUUUGCAUUGAUUUAAUAUCUCUAGUUAAAUAAAUAAAAUCCUUUUUUUCUAAAAGAAUAAAAUAAGUUGGAUAAAAAAAUCUUUUCAAGUUUUAAAAAAAUAUAUUUACAAAAAAAAAAAAUCCUUUCAAUAAGAAGAUAACAAAAUAAAUAAUAAUAAAAAAUAAAAAAUCUUUUCAAAUAAAAAUCCUUACAAAAUAAAUUCAUGAAUUCCAUCAAAAUAUUGGAGAAUUUUUAUGAGUUUAAUUCUUUUAUUAGAAUCUACCAAACUAUUGGAAAGUUUCAUAAAUUGAUUUUCAAAAAAAAAAUAAUAAUAAUAAAUAAUUUUUAUCCUCUAAACUAUUGGAAGAUUAUUUUUCAAAGUAAGUCCUAUCAAACUAUUGAUAGGUUUUACUAAUUUUUUUGAAUAAAAUAAAUUAAUAAAUUCGAUAACGGAGCCUUUUUGAAGUGAAACACUAAUCUCUAUAAAUACUCUUAAAGUGAGAAAAUUAUCUUAAAUUACUAUCAAACUAUUAGGACAAUUUUAGGAUUAAUUUUCAAUAUUAAAUAUUUUGAUAAAAUAUAAACAUUUUCAAGACUUGGAUAAUCUAAAAUCAAAUUGGUACCAUCCUUUGGAUGAGCGUUGUGAGGGUACUAUAACUUUUUCACAUGUAACCUCACUCUUGAACCUAAACUAUGGUUUUGUAUAUCAAAAUCUAUUAUUUAAAAAUAUUUAAGUCAAUAUUAGAAUUUCUCUUUAAAUAGAAUAAAUUUAAUCAGGUAGUCAAUCAUACCUACAUAAAAAAAAUUGAUAACGACUCUUUUUUAAUCCAUGUAUGGCUGUAGGUCCGCAGAUCUAUACGCUAUAACAUCAUGUUCAAAUAAAUAAUUUCUGUCUUUGGGUCACCCAUGUGGCACUUAGUCUAAAACCUUGUUCUCUUACCUAAGAAGAAAUUCAAUAAAAUCAUAAUAAAAGUGGAUAAGGUGACACAAGGAAAUAAAUUGUCUAUAUUUAUACAUUACAUAAUAAAUGUGGAUAAAAGGGCUUUUUUAAUAUUGUGGUGUUGGAAUUUUAAAUUUAAAAUCACAAAGCUAUGUGUUUUGUUUAUUUACUACUUCCAAUAUCCUUUCACCAAGUAAAUAAUAAAAAAAUAAUAAUAAUGUUAUUUCUUUUCAAUUUUUCUUCACUAAACAUAAACAAAAUGACUUGCCUAAAUUAUCUAGAGAAGAAAAAAUUGUGAUAUUUAGAUAAACACUAUGUUAAAAUACGAUUUUGAAAAAAAAAUCAAAUAUAGUAUAAGAUAUUUUUAAAAAAAAUAGAUAUAUGAUUGAUUAAAAUUUAUAAUAUAUUUUUCAAUUUCGAAACGCUCUUAUUCACAUUACCAUCUUAUCUAUUUAGACCAAAUUUUAUUAAAAAAAGAUACAAAUUAAAUUUACAUAUUAUCUUUGCUAUGGUACAUAUUUAUCUUGAAUUAUAUCAAAAAAAUAUUAAUACUCAUAUAUUAUUUUUUAAUAUUUGAGAUUUUCAAAUAUUGAUCCGACUAUCAGCAAUUGGCACAUUUAGGUAUUAUUAUACUAAUUAGAAAGAAAUAUGUAAUGAAGCUACAUAAUCCUUAGCAUAAUUAAAGAAUUAUUAUAUUUCUUAUCCAAAUUUGACUAAGAACAAAAAGUAAGAAGUAUGAACAUAAAUAAAGUUUAAUAAACUAAACAAUAAUAUUAGAUUAAAACAAGUUGUUGAUUGAGUUUAAGUGAGGAUUGGGGCGGCAUCUCUCUUUCCAAAGAUACAAAAGGUUUUUCCACCAUCUUUUCUUAUCAAAUAACCCAUGCACAUGGUUGUACAUGACCUUGGUACUGCCAGCUAGGUCAUCCCAUCCCUCUUUCAAUUUCUUUUCACACUUAGUGAUGAUAAUGGAUCAGGUCGAGGUGUGUUUUUGCUCACUUCGAACUCAAUUCAAUUUUAAAUAUACAAAAUUUGAACCCGAUCCGAUUCAAUAAAAAUUUUUAUUUUUUAUACCCGAAUCCAAUCCGACUUGACAUUAUAUAAAAUUGUAUCCGACUCGAUCCAACCUAAAAUUAAUAAAAUAUUAUUUUUUAAAUAUAAAAUAUUUUUUUAAUAUAAAUAUAAAAUUAAAUAUAUAUAAAAAUAUAUAAUAGAAAAUUAAAAAAAUAAUUUUUAUAUAUAUCGGGUUAGGUAGGGUUGGGUUUGUCUAAAAUCCAACCCCAACCCAACCCCGAAUUUUUUUUUUAUAUCACCUAACCUAAUCCGAUAUCUGAUUUUCAAAAAAAAAAAAAAUCAACCCUAAGAGGUCGGGUCACGUUGGAACUCGCAAGUUUCGGGUUAGAUUGCCUUCUCUAUUCACACUCACUAUAUGCCUCUAGCCGCUUUAGUGUUCUUUGGUCUAAUCUUAACACUUCAUUAGUUUUUUAAUUAAAAAAUUUUCAAUAAAAAAAAAUUAUAAGUGCUAAAAUUUUAAUUUAAAAUUAUUGAAUAUCAUAUUUUAAAAAUAAUUGUAUGAAUUGAUUAAUUAAACCUCGAAUUCGAGACCUUUUAGUUUAAUUUGUGACUUUAUUAGUGGUUAAAUUACAUUUUUUUCCUUUUUGUUUGAAACUUUACUACUACAACCUUUUGCUUUGAUUAUCCCCAUUUUCUUAUCUUAGUAAGUGCUAGACAUGUUUAGGAUAAUUGAAUUUGUUUUGUUCUUAAGUUAUUUUCUUCAGACUAAUUAUUUUAUGUUAGUCUAGAACCUUGAAAUUUUAGGUGCAAGUAGACUUUGUUAUAGAAUGCUAGACAAAUCUUUUCUUGGUCGUAUUAAGGUGUCCAAACGUGGGGCACUUGUCUGGGACUUACGCCCAACGGCUUCACUUAGAUUUUUAAGCGAAAGCCCAAAUCUAUCCAAAAAUUCUUAUACCAUCAUGUGGAUCUAUUAAAAUAUUGAACAUAUUAAUAACAAAUAAAAUGUCACAUUUUUAAUUCCAAUUAUCAAAAUUCAAAUCCUAAAUACGUACCAAAAUAAUAUCUCUUAAUUUGAUCUUCCCUUUUUUUAAUGUACCAGUGUAAUGGAAAACAAUUCGUAUAGUUUUGGAUUUUUUGCUACAUGUUCUUUUAAUAGUUAAAAGAAAACAAUACUAAAUUGUAAAAGUUAAUAUAAAUCAAUUAGAAAGUCAACUGACAAAACGGGAAACCGUUCAAUGAGUCUAGCAAUGAGUUAGCACCUAACAGAGAACGGAAAGGUGUUGAUUUCCUAUUAGCUACAAACAAUUUCGAUUGGCCCCCGUUUUCCACCAGUAUAUACUUCUUGCAAAGGUUGCUUUCACCAACCGAACAAACAAAUGACCUGGUAUUAUUAGCACAGGGCUAAAGGGAUCACAUGCAACUCCCUUUCCAACGAAACAAACUCAUUCAUAUUCAAAAACAACAGCACAUAUAUAAGCAACUGUGAUAGUAUUAACAUGCCAGGCACAAAUAAACUGAAACAAAUCCACGUUUAUUGGGGGGAAGUCAAGAAAGGACCAAGUCAGUAACUGUUAAAACGAUAUAGCAGUAUGAUAGGAGACAUAUAGGACAGAGACAGGAAUUUACUUCCACUUCUUGUAUCCCUUAUGUUUACCAAACAUGCCAUGCUUCCCAAACUUCCCAUGCUUAAAUUUCCCAUGUUUGAAUUUUCCAUGACCAUGGCCAUAGUAACCCCCAUGCCCAAGAUGAUGAGCUCCAUGUGCCAUAUGUUGAGCCCCAUAUAAUGCAGCCGCAGCAGCAGCACCCCCUGCUAUUAAUCCUCCCACACCAUGUCCAUGUGAGCCUUGUCCUGUAAAUUUUACUAUUCAAGUCAAAUGAUGCUAUAAGAUUAAAAUAUAAUAGUAUUUAUAUGUAAUUGAACAUCACUCCAGAUCCUUUUUGAGUUUUGAAGGUUAAAGAAAAUGGAUGCAGUUCAUCAAAGAAGAAAUUGAUGCAACUUCUUUAGCUUUAAAGCAAAAGUGAAAACCUUUAUUGAAAGAAGACAAAAAAGAAUGACAAUCAGCCAUAAGUUUAAAAUCCAAUGUUAUGUUUUUGAAACAUGUGUGGCAAUCAAAGACCAUAAGGUCUUCUCUAGGGAGAAUUAACAACUUCAAUCUAAUGUCAGCAAUAAGAAACAGCCAUAGGAAAAAUAAAGGGUAAUUGAGCAUACCAGGAUAACCAGCUGGUGGAUGUCCACCAUGAGUUGGAUAAGCUGCCGGAGGAUAUCCUCCAGGAGGAGGAUAUCCAGCAGGCGGAUAUCCACCAGGAGGAGGAUAUCCCCCUGGUGGAGGAUAUCCCCCUGGAGGAGGAUAUCCAGCCGGUGGGUAGCCUUGUGAAGGAUAUCCAUGAGGAGGAUAUCCUUGUGGAGGGUAGGAUCCAGGCGGAGGAUAAUGUCCAGCAGCAUAGCCAGCGAGACUAGAGAACAGCCCUUUGUCACCUGACUCGCCUUCAUGCUUGUCCUUACCACCUCCCAUUUUUCUUUAACUUGAAAUUAGUGAGUUUGAGUAACUAAUCUGUUAAAAGUUAGUAAAACAAAACACUGUCAGCUGAAACACACUUCAAGGCAAACUAUUGAAAAGAAAACGCUGAAAAGGAAAACAGUAGCAAAUGCUAUGAUAUGAGUAGAGUAAUCAAGGCUUGGCUGGUUUCAUAAAGUUGAUACAAGAAAAAGUGAGAUUAUGAAGAGAAAAUAGGAGAAGAUCAAGAAGUUUCAAUGACAUUCAAGUUCCAUAAUUUACAAUGAAUUCUGAAGUCCCAUCUAUCAAACAGAGACAAGCUUUCCACUUCCAUUAAUAAUGAAUUAAUCAUCAAAUAGCCAUACUCUCUCUGCUAUUAAUUAACACUACUAAUUUGAUCAGGAUUCUAUACAGUAAGAUGGAGGCAUCAUAACAGAUCCUGGAAUCAGGUCAAGAACAUGCUUCAAACUAACAAUGAAAUUGACAUUACAACAUUUUAGUGUACCAUGAAUACAGGAAUGCUAACUUCAAAAUCCAUCAUUUAAAGGCUUGGAAGAUAGCAAUAACACGUGAUAAAAUCAGAAAAUUUUCUCUUGCUUUAUCAAUAAUGACAAGAAAUUUACAAAAUAAAACAAUUCUAUUGAGAGUAUAUCCAGUGAGAGUUAUAAACGAGCUAUGAUUUCAUUUCAUUGUCUUUACAAUUUAUUGCCAUAUAUAUGGGUGCUUUUUAUUCUUGAAAUAUUCAUGGGCAUACACAUCCAUAUAUUCUUCUCCUCUAAAUUUACUGUCUGCAUAGUGAAUGUGUUGGAUCUAAAGGCAAAUACAUAAACGCAUGUCCAUAUUCAUACAACAAAACACACAUACAUAGUCCUUUGCCUUUGCCAACAAGGUGACAUGCUACAUAGACAUGCAUGUAUAGCAAACACACAUCUAUAUACCAUACAUAAUCAAUCAAACAUAUAUACAUACAAACAAAUAAGGCCCAAACGAUUAAACAUCAUAUGUUUCAUUUGAAUUGAAAUUAAAGUUAUUCUAUGAUAAGAAUAUUAAAAAAAAAAAAAAAAAGAAACGAAACCCCAUAGAUAAUACAAGAUCAAAACUUUUACCAAUAAAAACGAAAGAUAUCGAAAUUAUGGAUUAAACCCAAAACUAAAAACACCCCAUAAACAACAAACAAGGGGAAAAGAUUCCAUUAAUUGGCAGAUAGAGAGAAGAAGGAAAUCAGGAAUUUUGGAUCAAAGCAAAGAAAAUAUUCUUGUAAACGAACGAAAAGAAAUAGAGAGAUGGGUUUCGUUUAUUUUACCUGGGUUGGAGGAUUUUUGGAACCGAAACUCCUUUCCUUUGGCUUUGCAAACAAAAAUGAAAGAAUUUAUCGAAGUGAUUUUUAUGGACGAAGGUGUUUUGAGAGAGUUGUAGUUUUCGAGGCAGAUAUUUAUAGGAAAAGAGGACCAAAAUUUUUCUUUUCAAAGAAUUAUCACCUAAAAAUAAAAGUUGUGGGUGAUGUGUUUUUCGCUUUAAUUUUUUAGUACGCGUUGCUUCAACGCGGUUGCGUUUUAGAUGAUUCUUCAUCAUACGUGCUACCUAAUAUAUCUAUAUCUUUAGUUACAUCGCUCUAAUUUCUCUCUUAAUUAUUAUGGAACAUACACACUUUUUUUUAAUAAAAUAUAAAAUUAAAAAUGUUUUUGUCUUUUAAAUUAAAUAAAAAAUAACUAUCCACUUUUAAAAAAUAACCUAACUUUUGUCUAUAUAUAUCUUCAAAACCACAAUUAAAAUUUUUUUAACCAAUACAGUGCACGUGUCAAAUUUUAAUUAACUUGUAAAAACUUUGUUCCAAGUAAGAUUAUUACUACAAACAGCGUAGAUUAAAGUGGUAAAAAUGAAAUAUUUUAUUUUUAAAAUUUAGAUUUGAUUUAUGAUGUCAACAGUUUUUUUAAGGAUUGUUUUAUAAGUUAAUGUAAAUUUUGAUUAAAAUUUAUCAUAAGUGUGAUUCUAAAAUAUAAAUCUUUAUAUUUUCUCAAUUUAUUUAUUUAUUUUUUUAAAUUUCACAAAACAAUAUCAUUUUUUUGUAACAUUUAAUUCUCUUUUUUAUAUUCUAAAAUUGUUUUUCAUAUUUUUAAUUUUUGUAAUUAAAAAUUAUGAUACAUAUAUUUUAUAAAAAAUUAAGUAUAAAAUAUAUGAAAUUUGUCGUUGUCGGCAAACAGGGGCGGUUUCAUUGAUGCACGUUGGUGCACUAUACCAUAUGUUGCUACACAAUUGGAAUGUACGAAACAUUUUCGUUUCUUUAUUAUCUGAAAUAACUUUCGAAGAAGUUGUUUUAUCCAGUCAAUUUACGCAAAAUAAGGUUGAAGCUUAGAAUGAAUUGUUAAUCCAGAACAGGGUUUGAAAGCGUCAAAGCCGUCAAUCCUUAUAGCCGACUAUGAUAAUGGUAGUAUUUUUUGCUUCCUCAUGCACCAAGAAUGAUUGUUAGCAAUGGCUGUUCGCUAGUUGUAAAUGAGGGGUUUUCAAUGCAUUCAAGAAAAUGCUAUGAAGUUUCAUAUUAACAAAAUUGAAGAAGGCCUAAAACCCAACUGUAUUCUCGAAUCUGAACUCUGAAGUCAGUCUUCUUCACCGGUAUGAAACUUCCUGCAUGCAUGAACGACAAUUUUUCUUUUAUAAAGGAAGUAGCAAGCUAAGAUAAGAAAAGGAGUUGUUGGUGCUAAAAUCUUAUUUCUACAUUUUAUGUUGCAUCUAUUUUGUUAUGUACAAGAUGAGAGCCAUCUGCCUCAAUUUGGGAUCUAUAGUCCUGCCGCUUACCUUUCUUCUAAUUUAGUACUAUACUUUUCUGGUACAACCUCCUGUAAACUUUUGCACCUUCGAAUUCUGCAUGGAUUUCUCUUUCAGUCCUGAUACCCAUUGGAUUGUUCAAUAACCAUCCCUCAUCAUCACAUAACACGCUUGGAUCAACCAUGUCAAUGUGUUGAAGUGCACCACACUCCGAGUCAAACUGUUUUCUCAUGUCAACAGCAACUUCAAGCACAUCAGAUUGUAUAAAAACCUGCCCAAGGACAAAGAAAAACCUUUUCUAAUCAACGAUGAAGAUUUACAUAUUUUGAAGUGGAAAAAACACUAAACAGAAGUUUCUUUUGUGCUUGUGGUAUCCAUAUGCAUGAUCUAUCACUUAAAUGUCCUAAUAAACUGCUCAAUGCUGUUUUUUAUUCGAUUGACAGAUGCUAUACUCCAAGCAACUUAAGCACAAACGGAAGUACCAAAAAAGGAAUUUAAGACUAUAAGAGUUUGCUGUGAAUGAUUCAGUCAUCUAAAUGCAUAAGGCAUCAUAAAACAAGAUGAUCUAUCAAGGCAUAUUUCACAUGAUAUUUACUUUAAUAUAAAUUUACCAUAGAAAUAAAUCAUAACAGAAAUUGGCAAUAUCAAAAAGUAACUGCAGAAGCUUGAGAUCAGUUUAAUAAGAUCCCGCAACAGAUAAUACAAGAAAGUUACAAGAAUGGUUUUAAAGCGUCUACAAUAGUUUAUGGUAUUCACAUGUCAUGCAAAAAGCCAAAUGAUUAUCAUUCAAUGUGAAUGGAAGGGCAUACCUUUCCUCCGGGCAUUAAACUAGUUAAGAUGGAAUCUACUAAAGGCUCCUGUACAACCCUUCUUUUAUGAUGCCUUUUCUUGAAAUGCGGAUCUGGGCACUAAAUAAUGCAAGUAUUGUUAACCUACUAUUACAAGUACAUGGAAUGAUCCAGUGGCGUAACCACACUCACCAAUAUUGAAACUAGCAUUAAUGGUCCAGGAUAAGUAGAUACUAACUGUUUGAACGAAACUGUGGCAUUUGCAAAUAUAAAAUGUCUGCAAUAAAGUAUACAUGAUCAAAUCCCCAAUAAAACUGUUCUUCAUAUAAAGUGAGUUUCAAAGCCUUACAUGUUACUAAGAGCCAGCUCCUUUACCCAAAACUCAGCACGCUUGACCAGCUGCAUGACAAGCAAAAGGUAAAUGAAAAUUUACUCAAUCAGAAGAAUGAAAGUAGACCAAGUAAAUGAAAAUUUACUCAAUCAGAAGAAUUCUUGAGUGAAUAGUAGUAAUCCAAGGAGUUCUAUCUCAUACUUUUGCUCGUAUUUCCAGUCCCAAAUAAUUUUGGGAAUCAGGAUUUUGUUUCGCAAGCCACAUGAGAAAUCGACCACUUCCUGAGAUUUUUAUUUCAUCAUUGUUAGAUUUAUCAAUACAUAUCCAUACUUUCUCCAAUAGUAGUACUAACCACAAUGCAAGUGAAAACAAAAAAAAAAUAACUAAAAGAAAGAUGCCAACGAUGAUAAUGCUAAUAAUCUAAGUUGUGAAGCCAAGUUUGAAAGACAUGGUGAUUGAUAUGAACAAGGUUUUGGGUCAGAUGUCGUGAGAGCUAAUCAAAUAAACAAUAAAGUAAAUGAAAGUUGAGUUAUCAAACUACUGACAUGGUUAUUUAGCUCAAAAAAGGACCAGUCAGAAGACAAUAAAUAGCUAAAGGAGCAUGGCACCACAUCUCUACAGUAUUCUGCCCAACAUUAACCUACUUGCUCAAUAUCAUAAUGGAUCACAUUAUUGGAUAAUGAAAGACACUGACAAAUUAUACAUUGCUAAAGCCUUUCCAAUGUUGUCAAUCAAUAUCUGAGUCCAAAUAUGAGAGGAGAAAAUGCAAAUGCCCAUUUAUUGCAAAAGGAUCCAAGUAUCUUGUUGAUUGGUUUAGAUUCUAAAGGAUUUAAAAAUCAGCAAGAGGCUAAUGAAUAAUAGGGAACAGCCACCUCCUCUCCCAAACUCGACAUGGCUCAAAUGGUUCUCAUCACUAAUUGGAUAAUAAAUUAGCAGCUUUCCAUGAUUGAAAAGGUAAAUUUACAAAUACUGUGUAGUAGCUAACAUGUUUUCAUUUUUGUAUCAAUCAUCUCUCCAUGAUUUAAAAGAAUUAUCAAUGGAUAGCAGCAGUUAACAGAUGUAUUGAGUAGAGGGUUACCACUUCCAAUAUCCACCAUAAGUGGCAAUGUUGGAUCCCUGAAGACUUCACUCCAAUCAGGUACAGGCGCUGGCACCUGCCCAGAAAACAACUCAAUUCAACCAGUCAAGCUCUCAUUCCAAGCCAGACGCAUGAAAAACAGAAGCCAGUUAGACAAAACCAUUGCGUUUCCAAUUUAACAUAAGAAAUAAAUAACUGUUUCCUCACAAGCUACGGCGUUGAAAGAGCGUUUUUUUUUAAGAGCCACCAGAAAUUACUCACAGAGAAAGAUGAACUCAGAGGGUUGACAUGUUGCCUGAUUCUUACAUGACCCAACUCCUGCAAUAAAGUAGAGGGAAAAAAGUACCAUUACUAUAAAAAGAAGAAAAAUUUUAUAACCCAUUAUAAAUUUAUAAUUAAAAGAGAAAAUUUUAACAAACCAUUGUCAUAAAAAGAUAAAAUCUUGAUGACCCAUUAUCAUGAAAAGAUAGAACUUGAUAAUGAAGAGAAAUAAGAGGGUACCUGAGAAAUCUUGUCAGUGAGGUUAAGGCCAGCAUACUCGAGGGCCACCAGGUCAGGACUCCGUAGUUCCUUAUCAGCAGUAAUAGAAACAGAAGAAGAAGCAAAAGCUCUGGUAAAACAAUAGUUGCUUUGAAUAGAAGAAAUGAAUUUGUGGUGUAAUAUUAGUGAGGAAAGAGCUUCUUUUGCAGCCCUUGGCACUCCAAAACCGUGUAAGCAUAUGGAAGAAGCCAUUUUUUUCCGUCUAUUUUGACAGGUUCAUUCCUUCAUUUCUCCCUACAAUCUCAUGAUCCAUGUUUUGUUACUGUAUCUAAAAAAAUGCAAAUGGUUAUAAGACUAGCAAAUCUGCCAAAAACAGGCCCAGCCCAUGCAUAAACCAUCUAACUUUGAGCUACCCGAACAGUGUUCAAGGGUCAGGCCACCUUCCAACGUGUGUUGGGUCAAGUGGUUUUUUUUUUUUUUUUUAAUGAAAUCAGACCGUCCCAAUUUUCAUGGGCAAUUUCACAUGCAACCGCACACCUCCCCCAGAAUUAUAGGUAGACAUUCUGCCAAGUGCAACACGUUCUUGGUGUUUCUCACAAAAGUAACUAACUGUCGAAAAGACUUAAGACAGUUAAUAAUAGAAGCCAGUCAAAAAGAAGAAGAAUUUCAUAACUUCUGGGAGGCAUGGCUUUGGCUUUGGCUUUUCGUCCACUCAAUUUCAAACCCCAGUGUUCCUCCACUUCUUCUUCCUCUUCUUCCACCAACUACCGCCCUGCCGUCAUCCUUCCAGUUAAAUCUCCCUACUUUCCUCCAUGCAUUUGUUUGCUAUAUGUAUACGUGGAAAUGUUUAAGCUAUUUUGCAUUUGACACUUUAGUUUUGGUUUUUUUCCAGGGGCUAGGGAAUAAUACAGGUGACUACAAGAAGUUGGAGUUGACCUUGCAAGAGUAUGGAGUGCCCACUGUUGUUGCUAAGGUUUCAAGAAUUGAUUGGCUGAGGAAUGCAGCUGGCUUGGCCGACCCCAACUAUUGGAAAGGCACUCUGCAGCCUAGGCCAGUUCUUGACUGGUAUCUUAAAUCUUUCUCUGCCAAAGAUCCUAUUUAAUUAAAACAAUGUUGAAUGUGGUAUAGAUAUAAAUGUAUACAAGUUUUAACAUAGAAAGCUGCCCCCCUUUGUUUAUUGAUUGAUAUUGUGAGAAAGCAGGUAUUUGAAGAGGGUUGAUGAUGCAGUUCAAGAUGCAAAGGAAUUGGCACAGGGUAUGAUUAUGUAUCUUUGCCAUUACCUUGCAAUUUAGGUGUCAUUUGAAUUGUGUGUUAGUAAUUUUUUAUUAUUUUGCUUUCCUUUAUGCGGAACUUCUCUGAAGUAUCUAUUAAAUUGUAUAGAAAGGGGCAUUACAGUAUUACAGUUAUUGGUUGUAUAAACUUAUUUGCUUCCAUCACCAAGAAUUCAAAAUUCAGCCACAAGACUCUCAUUGUGUUUAAUGCAAAAUGAUACAAGAAAAUUGAAGUAGGGCAGUAGUAAAGUUUCAAGGUAUCAAGCAAAUGCAUAUCUAGAUUUAGCAUUUUUGCUCAUAAUUAAUAGUAUUACAAAUGAUUCGUCAUGUAAAAGCCUCUUAAAAUUUACAUAUGAAAGUUUGCCAAACAAUCUCAAAAUAGCAUAUGCAACCCUUAGCUAUUUCAUUUCUGGAAAAGAAGAGGGAAUUGAAAAACCCAAUGGUAUUGCUGUUUUCAUGCAUUUUGAACAAAUUCUGAAGAUUGAUUUACUAGUAAAUCAUCUCUUCUAGUCAAGGAAACUUUUACCAUAAAAAUAUAUAUCAUUCAUGCAGGUAACGCAAUAAUUAUGGAGACUGGCCAUUAGAUAUUACCAUUUUUCUUUUUGUCCUAUUCCUUGUGUAUUUUUGCCUUUCCUGCAACCCUUUGUCUCUGUUCCUUGGGUUCCCCAUAAAAGAAAUUGUCAUAAGUUAUAUAUCUUCUAAACCAGUAAAGUAUCUGAUUGUAGGUGGGACAUUAUCAUUGAUCGGACACUCAGCAGGAGGAUGGCUAGCACGUGUUUACAUGGAAGAAAUUGAAUUUUCCCACAUAUCCUUGCUUCUGACUCUUGGUACUCCUCACUUGUAGGUUUUUUUAUUUCAAUUCUAAAUAUUAAUUCUUGACUGAGUUUUUGAUCCUUUUGUCUCAAAUUAUUUUCUGUUCCAAUAAUUUUAGUACCUUGUAGGGGUUAAUGGAUAUUCUACUAACUGCAGCAAUUCCGUUUGCGAGCAUUGGAUUCUUCUUUUUCUUUUAUCAUUCUACCUCUCAACUCAAGGCUUAGGUGGAGGGAAGAAGGGUGCUUGAAACUUUAAGCAAAUUUUUAUAAGCCUAAUGGAUGUUUUGGUUCUGUUGCAGGCCUCCUCCGAGAGGGUUGACAGGAGUCAUUGAUCAAACAAGGGGUUUGCUAUAUUAUGUUGAACAAUACUGCAAAAAAGCUGUCUAUACUCCAGAGCUGAAAUAUGUAUGUAUUGCAGGGAGGUAAAAAUCAAAGUCAAGAUCCUUUUCUUCUUGAUUCUAUUUUCUGUUUCUGCACUAAUCCUACUUCACUCCAUUUAAGAUGCCAAAUUUUUUUCAUGUUAACGGUACCAUCUAUGCAUGACUUGACCCAGUUGAUAAAUGGCUAUGAUACUACAUAUUGCUGGAAGACCUAUUCCCUUUCGUCCUUUGUCUGUUCCUUCUUAUCUGAGAGAACACGCUGUUUUUAAUAUGUAAAAUUCAUAUCUCUCACAAUUGCAGUGAAAAUUGCAAUGUAUUUUGAGAGGAUGGAGCUGGUCAGACAUUUGGAUUAUGCACACAAAAAUAAACCAUUUACAAGGCUUGUUGGUUUAAGAUGAAUAGUGAGGGAUAUUGUAGUCAACUCUGCAAACAUAUUUGUAUUUGGUAGGAUUUUAAAGGUUGAACCACAUUUUUUGUAAAAAUUAUAUAGAAUCUAAGAAUUAUGGAAGAAAGCAAGAAACCUUUGUUACAAACCAAAAACUCAAACUCGCAAAUAUGAAAUAUAUGGUUGUAUGGAUGUGGUUCACUCAAGAAACUUGUUGAUGAUUCACAUAAAACCAUACACAGUGCUCUUAAUAUAAAAAAUUUGGAUAAGACAGUGAUAAUGAAGCUGAAAACUGAAGUAUGGAUUAUUAUAUUUGAUGAGUAGUGACAUAUAACAGAACUAUCGAUGCAGAGUAAACCAAAUAAGCUUUAGCAGAAUUUACUUGUGCCUCUAAUCUAAAUGGUAAAUGCAGGUACCUUCAGGGAGCUCGCAUUUCUAGUGACUCAAAUCUGGAUGUCGAUUCUGUGGUCUCCAUUGAUGAUGACCAACCAAUUUCAGAUGUUGCUGUUGUAAAAAAUAAGACCGAUUCAACGUCCAUUUCCACAACCUUUCGUGCUCGCUUUGUUGGUCAAGGGUACAAACAGGUAACACCAACCAUCUUGGCUCCUUGUUCUUGGUUCUUUAAACAAAAAUGUUGAUAUCGUAGGCUUCCAUAAGAGUUCAUUUUUCCAUUCAAAUUUCUAUUGUUUUUUCUUCUAAAAUAUUUUUGCAGAAGUGAUGUAUAUGUUUUGCAGCCUGUUAAGUGCUAGUUUCUCAUGGUAAGUUUUAGCCUUGAAUCAGGUUUGUGGACAGGCAGAUGUAUGGGGUGAUGGAGUUGUGCCAGAAGUAUCAGCUCAUCUAGAGGGAGCACUUAACAUUAGCUUGGAUGGAGUCUACCACUCACCGGUUGGUUCAGAUGAUAUAUCGAGACCAUGGUAUGGUUCUCCCGCAGUUGUAGAGCAGUGGAUACAUCAUCUCCUCAACUAAUCAAGUCUGAGAUACUAAAGUCAAAACUAAAAAAGAAAAAAAGACUCUUCAUUUAACAUCGAUUUAUCAAUUAUCAAUGAACUCAUUGCACCCAAUAUUAUUCUUUGUAUACUUGCCAAUAUUUGAAAUUGGUGUUUUUUCUUUCAUUUUGUUUCUUACCUUUUCCUUGGAAAUCCUAUCACUUGCAACCUUUUCUUUUAUUCUCAUGUUACAGGUUCUUUUGUAACAGAUAAAAAAAGAAAACAAAAAGAAUCGCCAGCUGUAUAUUUAUACUAGCCUUGUUAAAUGUCAGGUAGGGGCAAAGAGAGAAAGGCCUCAAGCUUUUACCCCGGGGCAGAAGGCCAGGAGAGAUGCAUCUAUAAACAGUUCUUAGGCAAUCCCAUGGAGCUAAGCCUGCCAGAUCUUGUUUCCCCCACUUUCAAAACAAAACCUUCAAAUGCCAAUAUUUUUUCCCCAACUUAUAGUCCCAAUUAAUAUUGACAUUUUCAUAAUCAUCAUAGACCAUGGAAAAUCAUUGAUGACUAUAGGCUAUAGGUGACAAGAGCUCCCAGAUCCAACCACUAAUGUUUGUAUGGAAACUCAAAUCAUAGUAAAAAUAACCCAACUUUAAGAAACCUUUCUUACUGAAAACUUAACUAACCUAACCGCUCACAAUGCUACCGCUUGCCCCACCCAUAAACGAGCCAGCUUAUACAACGGUGAACUUUGAAUGUUAAAGUCAACAAUGGUUUCCACAUGGUUGAAUGAUUAAACUACUGAUUGAUCACAGAUCCAGUUGCCAUACACAGUAAAAUUAAAAUGCGGCUUUUUCGGUCUCAAGUCCCUACUAAAUUUUUACACAAGUCCAAGCUAGAAACAUUCUCAGUUGCCAGACCACCCCUACGAGUUCAGCUCUCAAAACGACACGCAAAACAUGAACAUACAUUGAAAAGAGUUCAGAUCAGAAUGACAAGAAGAGCUAGCUCGACAUUGGUUAGGUAGCACAAGUCCAAAUAAAACAAUACAGGUCAGGUAGUCUUCACAAAGUGGUGGGAUAACAUUUUUCCAAUCUCCAGGAAACCAAUCUUUUCUUUUCCAGCGAAAAUGGUCUUAAGCUUUGCAUCACAAAAGAUCUCCCUCUUGUUGUUGGGAUUCUGCAGGCAAAAGUAUCCGUAUAUGUUAGUGUAUGUUAUCAGACAGAAAUUUUCCUCAUAACACAAUGUCUGAGUCACUCAAUAUGAUAUCUGAACAAAAUAUAUUAAACAUAAAUUAGUAAAAUCAGCAACUUUAACAUCAUGACAAGCAGCAUAUAUGGAAAUAAUGACAAUAACUGCUAACAUGAUCCAGCAAACAAAGAAACACUAGCAUCCAUGUGAAAUUAUGAUCAAGGGUAUUGUUUCCUGCCUAUAAGAAAAACAAAUAUGGCCAGAAUAAAUUCGUGUUACCCAACUUCAUAAACAUAAUAUGAAACACAUGCAUGAGGUUAGAAGGAUCAGCUGGCACUGCAGGGAGACUUAUCUCAACUACUCUCCCAUAUUCAUCUUUCCCCAUUCAUGAUCUUUUUUCACCAUUAAUAGCUAAUCAGUAAUAAAAUGCCAAUCAAAUGCCCUAAAAGGCCAAGUGUUUAGAUUGUUUGUAGUGAAUGCAUAUGCCAUGGGUGAAUAUAUGGAAGAAGUAGGAUUCUCCAAUGAAAUCUCUUAAGCAAGCAUUAAAGAGUAAAAAGGAAGCAGAGGGUGAAAUAGUUGAAUAGGAGGGACGCAUAUAACAAGAAAGAGAAUGAAACACCAAAUACAACAAGCAACUAGACAACUCAAUCACCAAAUACCUAAAGCACCUAUUGCUCUCUGCCUCCUCGUCAAGGACAGUCUCAUUAGUCUAGAAGACAAACAGAAUUCCUCCUUUCAAUUUGUUUACCCUCCUCUAGGAUCUAACACUAAACUGAAGGAACAAGCCACCCUAGAUUAAAGUCUGAUUCUUCAAUAUCCUCAUAUAAUUCUUUUUUAUUUCCUUUCCCUAGUCCUUUUCAAUACCCAUCCAGCAAACUAAACUCUUGAAACUCUGUGGAAAAGCAAAUGAAGACAUCAAUUGUCACAAGAAACAGGAAAGUCCCAUUCCAGUUUUCCAGUCUCAAAAUUUUCUAUCUAAAAUCCAAGCAAAAUUUUAAUGUGUGGAAAACCAGGAAAUGCAAGAAGAAGGGCCAUGGUGGGAUAACCUGUGGUGAGCAGAGGUGACGGACUCCAAAGUUUUAGAAAUCGCUUUUGGAACCGUCCCUUCUUUGCUUUCACCUUUACAACACUUUCUUACGUGAAGAAACUAAUAUUUACCUUCUGUCUCAUCCCUUCUCUGAGUUAUACCCAGUUUUCUCCUAUAAAUGUCACUUUAAAUCCAGAACAAAAACACCCCCCCCCCCCAAAAAAAAAAAAAAGAAAAAACCAAAAGAAACAAAUCAAACACAUAAAACACCAAAGUUGAACAGCAUUUCCCCAGACAUUUACUCAAGCCAAAAUUUAUUUACCGGUUUUUUUUUUCAUAUUUUCAUCAUUCACAAGAUAGAUUAAAAUAAAGAAACUUUAAUAAAAUAAAAAUAAAAACCCCAAGGGAAGAGGGCCAAAAACACAAGUAAAAUACAAAAAAAAAAAAAAAAACUAUAGUUGAAGGCAAAAGAAAAAUAAAGAAAAAGAGGACCUGGAGGUUGUUGGAUUUGAUAUAGGUCCAGAUCUGCUUAACAGCUUCAGUACGGGAAGCCUGUCCGGCUCCAAGGAACCGACCCAAAGCAGGAGAAACAGGAGUAACUUUAAAAAUCCCAGAGGGUCGAGUCAUGGUUCGAGGAGCAGCUGGUUUUGCAGUCUUGGGUUUUGAAGUGGUUGACUUUUUCGGAGUUUUCUGAGCCACUUUCGAAGCAGCGGAUUUCGCAGCAGCGCCAGCAGCAGCAGAAGCAGAAGUAUAAAACUUGGCUGCUGCUAACGAAGACCCUGCCGCCGCUGGGGAAGCUAACAGCGCCCUGAAACCUUUUAAAACCCUAGACAUUUUGGUUGCUUAAUAGAGUUUCGCCUUUGAUGUUAUGCUGUCGGGUGAACUGAGAAAGCAAGAUUUCCGGAGCGGCCUUUUAAAAUAGAGAGAGGGGCCUCGUGGGAUUUCACCCUUUUCGGGUACCAUGACUGUUCGCUUUUGCUAGUGUAACAUCUAGUAGUACGAAGGUAAUGUUGCACAACUUGCCACCUCAACAUUUUAUUAAAAAAAAUUUCCCUCUCGUAUCGCGCUUCCAUUUUGAAUUAAAAAAAAAAUCCAAAAAUACGAAAACUAACGCCUCUUUUAACAUCUUCCAGAAGAAAUGCCUGCAUUUUGUUGCAGCUAAACAAAAAUCAACUUAUUUUAAAAGAUUUAUAAAAUGAAUAUUCCACAAUACUCUAUUAAAUAUCACUAUAUACAAUUUGAAUAGGAAUUAGCUUAAACAAUAUAUAUCAUUUAAUUAUAGGCACGAGGAUGGACUUUAAAAUUAACUUGAAAAAAAAAUCUUGAAAGCAAUUAUAAAUUUUGCAUCAAGAAAAACUUAAAUAAAAAAUAAAAUCCAGUUAUAAAAUUAUAACAUAAAAUAGUAAAAUUAAAAUUGAUUUUUACCAUGUUUUCUUACAUAUUAAAAGUUAUAAUCACAUUUUUUUAUCUUUAUAUUUUUUACAAAGUAAGAUAAACUAAGAAAAAUUCUAAGACAAUUCAAAUACUAAAUAAACAUUACAUCUUAUGCAAGCUCAACCUUAAAAUUACUUGUUCAAAUAACAUAUCGUUGAACUAUACUCAUGGGGAGUUGCAUUUGCAAAAUUGUGAAAAACAUUUUUCAUUACCUAUUUGAUGGCCUAUAAACUGGUAGCUCUUACUAUCCAUGCUACCAACACCAGUUAUUAUAAUUAGAUCAUGAUCGCCUGCACAAUCUCCAUAAGAUAAGGCAAACACCAUUGAAAUCGAUAAGCUCAAUGAAUACUUUCACUACGUAUCACAAUCCAAAAUGUUGGUAACAACGUCAAAAUCAUCUGCUCAACUUAAAUUUAAGAAUGAGUAACUAUUCUUCUUUUGCCUAUUAAUAGUAUAUAAGUUUGAAAAAAAAAAAGGACGAGAGAUGAUGAGUUAUUGGCAUGUUACAAUGUUGCAAUUUUAAACGACACGACUCUAGUAGAAACUUUAUGGGAAAUCACUAAUAAUUAGAUUUAACUUUUCUUCACCAAAGUAAAUUAAGUUUAAAAAUUUUAAACAUUUAUUCAAAUUAAGUCAUUUUAAAUAAUUCUAAGUCAAAGUCAGGUCUCCAAUAACAUUAAGAAUUUAUGCAUUCAUAGUAUAACAAAAUGUUGGAUUUCAAAAUAAAUACUAAAAAUUGCUAAUAGCAUGCAAGAAUAGUAAAGUAACUUUAACAACACAAAUUUGAAGCACAUUGAAAGAAGAUGCUCUCUAACAAUUUUGUAUUUUCAAUAAAAAUCAAAGAUUUAUAACAUACAUACUUGAUUAGUGCAUUUCAAUCGCCCUUUAUAUACUCGACCAAAAUCUCUUACACCUAGAAGGCAAUCUACUUUAAAAUUCUUUGUUGUUGUUGCCAAUUCACGAAAAGUAAUAAGUUCAAAUGCAAUUUUAUAAACUAAGUUCAUUAUAUGAUUAUGUAUGUCGUGGACAAUCUCUAUAGUCUAACACAAGUAAGCUAAUUUCUACUACAUAUAGAAAGUGAAGGUAAUUCUAGAUAAAAAUUGCUAAUUAGGAUACCAAAAACAAUAAUCGAAAUUAAAAUUGUCAAUACAGUUUAAAACUAAAGCAAAUUGGAUUCAAAAUACAAAUUUGAGCUCACUUUUUUCCUGCAUAAAGCCAUUAGAUAUACAAAUAUCAUAAUCCAAUAAAUAACAUGUGAUUUAAAACAAAUAACAAUAUUACAAUAAAAGAAAAAUAAAAACUAACCUUAACUUAAUUGAUAGAACACCUUCAACAAUACAUGCAACAAAAAACAUAAAAAAAAUCUCAGCAUUAAUAUAACAACUUAAACAUAGGAAAAUCAAAAUGAGUAACCAAUUUUAAAACCAAUUAACAACACAAGGCAAAGUGUAAUAAACAAUUUUAGAACACAUGCAAGAAAAAGAGGAAAAACAAAGAAACAUCUAAAUAAGAAUGAUGGCUUGCUUAAUGUCUACAAAAGAAAAUGGAAGAAGAUGCUUGUUUGGGAUCCCAAAGCAUCUAUAUAUAUUCUUUAAGUUAAUUUGUUUAUAUUUGUUCAAUACAAUAGUGAAAGAAAAGAAAAUAACCAAAAGUAAAAAGAAAAUAAUAGUUUAUAGCAAACCCUUUAAGGAAAAUGUUGUCAAGCAUCAACCUUAAUAUUUGUAUUGGAAUAUCUUUUCAACACAUCAAAGGUAUGUAUGCUUUUUUUACAACAUUUAAACGAAAAAGCAAAAAACAAUAAAAUUAAGAUUGAAAAUUCUAACUAAUAGGAAAUUAUCAUUAUGGUUGCAUUAAAGGUAUCAAUACGAUAAUGUUUGAGUUGCUUGUUAAUGACAUGAUAAUAAUAUUUUAGUUUUCAGUUAAUAGUAUCAAUUCAUAUAAUAUAUAUUGAUAUUUUUUUGACAAUUCAAUUACCUUUUUGAAAUUAUAGUCGAAGUUUGAAUUUUACAAGUCUGAUUGAUGAGUUUGUUGAUGAAGAAAUAAUUUAGAAAAUUAAGUCUUGGGUAAUAACAAACAUGGGUGCUAAGUGGAGGCAAUGGACGAACGAAUUGAAAUCUAAAUUUUAUAAUGAAUACAAGACACGAGAGGAAAUAGCUGUAAAAGUUGAUUUUCAAGUAGACAAUGAUCAAUUCUUGUUUUUUACUGCACAUUAGUUGACUAAUAAAACGAAGAUAAAUGCUUGUAAAAUAUACUAUUUAUUUUCUUUUAACACUAUGAUAUAAUAUGAGCUAUUAUAAUAUAUAUUUUCUUUUUCAUUAAAGGAAUAAAGUGAGACAAACAAAACAAAUUGCUCAAAACUAGAUGAGCCUCAAUGCGUAAGAAUGAAGUCAUUUUCGAGGAUCAUUCAAACCUUAGUACAUAUAUCAAUUUUCUUUGUGACACUCAGUUAAACGAAUAUGAAGUUUACUUUUUAUAUAUGUGAUUUUAUCAUUACAAUAAUUAAUAUUAUACCUUUAUAGAAACAAUAAGCUAAUGGAAUUCCACCACCAUCACGUGCUAAGAUGUAUAUUCUUUUUUAUACACAUAAAGAUGAAAGUGUUAUGAAUGACAAGGUAGCUGAAUUUGUGGUAUUUAAUUUAGUUUAUACUUGAUUUUACUUAUGUUUAGUUUAUUUGUACUAAAAUGUUUGUUUACAAUUUUAACAACUCAUGAAAAAUAAAUUUGAGUAAAACUAGGGCUCAAAAUUUUGAAAAUAGUUCAUGAAAAGAUUAUGUUUAUUCAAAAGUUAAAGGGUUACAGAGAAAAGGCCGUGUUCAUUGUAUGGGUACAAUAUCUACUUUAUCUAAAUAAUAUGGUCCUUCAUCUUCUGAAUUGGUCUAACAUAAGGAAGAUGUACAAGUGUUGAAUGCUGAAAUUAAAGACUUGAAAGAAACUUUAAGUACUAUCUUAUCAUUACUUCAAAAAUAAUUUUUUAAUAAGAAUAUGGAUAUCUCGAAUACUAUUGCCCACAUAGUGAAUAGAAAGGUAUAUAUAACAUCUAUUUUAGUUUAUAUAUAUGUAAAUUAUCAUCUUAUUCAUGAAUCUUAAAUUUUAUUCAAAUUUCUUUUGAAUUAUUUUUAGGUUCUUGAUGCUAGUAAUGCUCCAGAAAUCACAAGUGAAAACUAUUAGUCUUCAAAUUCUAGUCACCAAUCUAAUAAAAAAAAAUGGUAAACUCAUUGGCACGUUGCAGUAAUUCUAUGCUAAUAAAUUGUUAUAUAAGUGGAUGUGAACCAAAAACUGUGUUUGUUCCAAUUAUGAUUGUUCCAGUUUCGAUCAUUGUGUUUAUGGAGUGCUAUAAUUAUUUUUUUAAACCUAUGUUUCUAUCAUAGUUAUGCAUUAUUAUCUCUUCUUGUACAUAUUCCUCUCUUAGACUAAAUAGAUUUUUGAGCUUUGAUAUGUGAAAACGACUUGAACUUUGUCAUAGCUAUUCCAGAUGGUAAACUUAUUAGACAUCUAUUAAUAAAAUAAUAUUGAUAGAAACCAAUAACUUUUUUAGAGAUGAUUCCUUGUGUUUUUUGGGGCACCUACUUACUACGGACACUAAAUCUUUUUACUUUUAAUUUAAUUAUCUAAUUGUGUUUUUUAUUUUACAUAUACAUAUGCUUUUAUGUAUAAAUCUAUGUUGGCAUCAUUUGCUUUGAAAAAUUAUUUAUUUACUUCAAGUACCAUGUUUAUAAACAUUCAAUGACAUUUGUUUUUAUCUAAACUUAGUACAAUGACUUUAGUUCUUAACUUAUUCUACGUUUAUAGAUUAUAAAAUAAUUUGCUUGUAGUUAUAUUUGGAAUAUUAUUAAAUAUCUUUUAUUUCAUUGUGUAUUUUCACUUUAUAUGAAAUAACAUCAUAUUAUGAUUAUAAAUAAAUUAAUAUUAAUAAUUCAAAAGAAAAGUUUCCACCAACACUUUAAUAUUUAUAUCGAUGCCCUUUCUGUUCAAAUAUUUUAGGUUAUAUUAACAUCACCAAUCGUCAACUAUUGGUAAAAGUAAAAACAUAUGAGGCUAUAUUGAUGAGCAUUAACUAUUGGUCAAUGAUAUAUUGUCAAAUAACCUGUCAUAUAGGUAGGAAAAAUUAAAACAUAUAAGUUUACAUUUAUUGGAGUUAACCAUCGGUAAAAUGUAUAAUGGCAAAACAUACAACAGAUACUAUACCAAUGGAUAUACAAUUACUGAUGAACUCAAACCGUUGGUAUAUUUCUAUUACCCAUUUUGACACUUUAAAAACUAUCAGUAUAGGUCUAUACCAACAAGAGAUAUAUUAAUAGUUAAAAUUUAACAAAAUAUGCAUUUUGACUGACGGUAUAAUGCUUAUUAUGCUAUACUGACGAAUUUUUAAGUUUUACUGAUGAUUUUUUAAGCGUCAGUAUAUGACAAUUUUCAUGUAGUCUUAUAAAUGAGCCUUAAGAAAAUGUAAGCCACUUCCUUGUAUCAUAUAUGUAAAAACAGCUCAAAUUGCUCUUGGAAAAUGAAAAUAAAUAAUAAAACGUGCUAAAUCUUUUACUAUAAGAAAAAAGAAAGUAAUAAUAAUUAAAUUCUUAUUUUUUUUAUAAAUUUUAAAAAAUAAAACUAAUUAAGCUUACAUAUGUCAUAUACAUUAGUAAACAUGACUUACUUCUACUAAAUCAAAUCAUCUCUCUUGUGAACUUGGAUGAAAAUGCAUACAUCAACUAUAUAGAAAAAUUACAACAAACAAAUUUAAUCCUAAAAAAUAAAUCAAACAAUAUAGAAAUAAAUCAAACAAUAUAGCAAAAAAUAGAUAAAAUAAAAUGGAUAACUAUCAAAUUGAAAGUUUGAAUAACAAAAACCUCAUUUAUCAAUGACCCAAUUUCUAUGGUGAAUAGAUUGAUGUUUUCUAGGUCAAAUCUCUCUUCUUCUUUUUUACUCUCUUUUGUUUUAUCCCUUUUCCUCCCUCUAUUCUUUCGAAAAUAAAAAGAAAAAAAAAUAGAUAUGAUGAAAAGAUCUUUCUUUUUCCUCUUCAAUCUCGUCAUUUUUUUAAUUUCUCUUCAUUUUCCAACAUCCCCUUCCCACCUAAUCCAUUGUCUUUUUUUUAUUAUUUUUAAUUUUUUCUUGAAAAUCUCAUAUUUCCUAAAAGUCCCAUGCUCAAUCAUUUUGUCUUGCUUUUUUUCAUCACUCUUUCGAAAGUUUUAAACCCAUCCUUUUACUAGAUGGUAUUCUCGCUAUUUUCUUCUCUUUCUUUUUCUCCUUCCAUUUGUCUUUUUCUUAUUCAUUUUUUCUGACUGUGAAACUUUUAAAUGUAGAAGUUUCUACUCUCCCAAUGUGUCUAGAAGCUUUUCACUCUCUCCACCUCUGUUUAAAAGAGGUAGUAGAAUUAUUAGAGAUUACUUUAAAGGAUAACAAAGCAAUAUUUCUAUCCUUCAAUGUCUUUUUCAAUUCUCUUUAAAAGACAUUGAAUAGCUAUUCCCCAAAUCAAUGUUUGAAAAACUAUAAGGACAACAAUAAUUGUUUGUUAUAGAUACAUAUAUAGAAAAGAAUCCCUAAGGAUAUUACCAAAUACUCUUCUCAUUAUUUGACAAAAAAAUGACAUGUCUAAAUUGACUAUUUUGCCUUCCUAUCAUAAUUACUGUACCUUGCUUACCUUUUGCACCACUUAGCACUUGUCUAAUGAUUUUUUUAAGCUUGCAAAAGUACUUCAGCUCUGAACCAUCCAAGCAUAUCUACCACAGAUAGCUACAAAAACAACCAAUUUGUUCAUCUUUUCUUGGAAAUUACUUGCUUCACAUUAAUACAAAUUAGUAAAAGUUGAAAACAAUUCGACAGUAGUCAAAUUAGAUAGAACACAACGUUUUUAUAUACUUUCAAAAGUGAAAUCAUAUGAAACACAGAGUUUUUAAUUUAUUUGAUUUAUGUAAUAACUCGUAAAAGAUGAUAUUAAGUAGAUUUUAAAUUCAAAUUCCAACAUAUACAAUUACUUCUUAUAUCAUUUAGUCAAGGAUAAUUUUAAUAAUUGAUUUAGUUAAUACAUGUAUGGCUUAUAUGUGUUGUAUUUAAUAGAGUCUAACAAAAUAAAAAUUAAUUGAUAGUUAAAAUAAAUUAUUAGCCUUGAAUUGAUUAAAAGUUUUGAAUUCACAAAAUAAAAAUUUACCUAACUUGAAUCAAAUUCUUUUAAUCUCAAACUGAACAUUUUUUCAGCCUUUUAUCUUGCCAAAAUUCAUUUAGGAACUAAUACAAACAAAUUUUGAAAACAAAAUGGGUUCAUGGCAUGUUUAAGAUAGAAGGGAUCGAUCCUCUCCCUUGCCCGAUCAAUCCCCUGGCCAAAGGGAUCAAUCCAUUUUUUUUUCAAAAGUAAAACUUCUGAAAAUUCAUCAAGAACAAAUCGAUCCCCUCCCUAUAGGGAUUGAUUGGUUAGGGUUUGAACCUACCCGAUCAAUGCCUCCCUUAAAGGGAUCGAUUUAUUUUUUAUACAGAAUGCAAAAUAGGGUCGAAAAAUAACAAAAGAGAUCGAUUCCCCCACAUAGAAGAUCGAUCACCCAAGUAUCUGAUCGAUCAUGUAUACUACCUUAUCGAUUGGGUAUGUGUUUUCUCGUACAAAAUUGAGCUUUCCUAUAACUGACCCAAUCGAUCCUUUACAUGAAGGGAUUGAUCCUCUGAUGCCCAGAAAGCCCCAACGACUAUUUUCUUAUUUGAUAUUUUACAAGUUUGAAGCAUUUAAUGCAAAGCAACGGCUAUCUACUCUUUUCUACAUAUAAAUGAAAGCUUCCACUGCAAAUCAAAAGUAUGAAAAACUAAGAAGAACUUAUUACUUCCACCAACCAUCUUGUUCAAACAUUUAAACCAGUUCAAAGAAAAAGUGUAAAAAAUCUUUCUUAUAUCAGUUUUUCUUUAAAUCUUCUUGUUAAUAUUGUUUUGUACUUCAAGCUAGCAAACACUCAACCUUAGAGAGGUUUUUUAAGUUUGCAAAAUAUUUCAGAAACUUUGUAUUAUGAGAUUAUGAGCUUAAGGGAAAUGAUAACCCUUAAAAAAUUUAUGGUGUUGAUUAUCUAGAGCUUUGAAAAGCUAGGUUGUAACCUUCAACACAUAGUAAAUUGAACUCAUUAGUAAGUGGGCUAAGGGAGAGGACAUAGAUGUUUCAAAAAAAGAUCGAACCUUUAUAAAUCUUAGUGUCUAAUUCUCUAUCUCUAUCUUUUAUUUUUUUUAAGAUUGCUAGUUUACUUGUAUAUCUUAUGUUCAUUUAACUUAGAAAAAUUAUUUUGUAGAAUUUGUGCUUAUUAGAUAUUGAUUUUUAAAAAUUUUAUUAUCAACCAACCCCUUCUUGAUUUAUUUCAAGUCUUUGAGCUAACAAUUGGUAUUAGAGCUAAUAUUCUUUUUGUAGGUCUACCAACACAAGAGUAAUUCUGAAAAUGUUUCAAAAAAAUAUGGUGAUCAAUAUAGAACAACCAUUCUCAAGCUAUAAUAAAUACAAUGAGCAACAAAAAAUGUGUCUUAUGACAAAUGAAAUAGUCUUUACAUUUCUUGGAAGUGAAAGUCAUUCAAUUACAAGACCUCAUCUCUUUGUUGGUAACAACUAUUCUUAUUAAAAGAUUAGGAUGAGAUUAUUUAUUCAAGCCAAUAAUUAUAAAGUCUGGAGAGUCAUUAUAAAUGGCCCUCAAAUUUCAAUAAAGAUAGUGGAUGAUAGGGAGGUGAUUAAACAAGAUAGUGAAUAGAAUGUCCAUAAUAUGAAGAUGGCUCAACUCAAUGCCAAAACAAUGCAUACAUUCUUUUGUGCAUUGGGGCUUAACGAGUACAAUAAAAUUUUUUUGUGUAAAAAUAUAAAAAAAAAUUUGAGACAAGUUGGUCAUCACUCAUGAAGGUACUAAUCAAGUAAAAGAGACCAAAAUUAGCAUGCUCACUUAUGAUUAUGAGUUAUUCAAGAUGAAAUUAGAUAAAACCAUUGUUAAAAUGUCAAAUCGUUUCACCGACAUCAUUAAUAGUUUAAAGGCUAUUGGAAAAACUUACUCAAAUGUGAAAAUGGUAAGAAAAAUUUUAAAUAGUCCAUCAAAGAGCUGGAAAGCUAAACUGAUAGCAAUUGAAGAAUCCAAAGAUCCUUAUACACUUUCUUUGGAUAAACUAAUGAACUCUUUUUUUACCUAUGAGAUGAAACUUAAAAGGGGACAAAAACCAAUAAAAAAAAGUAGCAUUGCUCUCAAAUCAAUUUUUUAAAAAGAUGAAAAAAAAUCUUAGACAAGAAAAAGAUGAUGAAGAUGAAAAAAUAGUCAUGUUUGCAAAAAGAUUUAAGAAGUUCAUAAGGAUGAAUAAGUCUUUAAGUAAAAAAAGACCACAAAAAAAAUGAUCAAAGAAGAAUCAAGUAAAAGAGAAAAAGAUUAGAUUAUUUGCUAUGAAUGCAACAAAUUAGAUCAUAUUAAAUUCGAUUAUCCUUUAUGAAAAAAAUAAAACAUGAUAAAGUCAAAGAAGAAAGUAAUGGUUACAACAUGGAGUGAUAAUGACUUUUUCGAUGAUAAAUCAAAUGAAAAAAAAAGAGCUAAUUUUUUUCUCAUAGCUCUUGAUGAGCCCAAGGUGGAUAUCAAGAGUGCAUUUCUAAAUGGUUUUAUAAAUAAAGAAAUGUAUGUAGAGCAACCUCUCAAUUUUGAAAAUCCUAAAUUUUCAAAUCAUAUUUAUAAAUUGACAAAAGCUUUAUAUGGUUUAAAAUAAGCUCCAAGAGCUUGAUAUGAAAGAUUGUCCAAAUUUUUAAUUAAAAAUGGUUUUAAUAGAUGAAAGGUUGAUACUACACUUUUUAUUAAAACAAAAAGAAAAGAUAUUCUUAUAGUGUAAGUUUAUGUUGAUGAUAUCAUAUUUAGUGCUACUAAUGAAGUUCUUUGUCAAAAAUUUGCCAAACUAUACAAAGUGAAUUUGAAAUAAGCAUGAUGGGAAAACUUAUAUUUUUUUUAAGAUUACAAGUAAAGCAAACAAAAGAUGGUACCUUCAUCAAUCAAGCUAAAUACAUCAAGGAUUUACUCAUAAGGUUUAGAUUGAAAGAAUCAAAGCCUUGCUCAAUACCUAUGAGUACUUCAACAAAACUUGACAAGGAUGAAGGAGGUAAAUGUAUUGAUUCUAAGUUAUAUAGGCUAUAAUUGGCUCAUUGCUAUAUCUUACUAUAAGUAGACCAGAUAUAAUGUUUGGUGUAUGUUUGUGUGCUAGAUUUCAAUAAUCACCUAGAGAAUCACAUUUAUCUACUAUCAAAAUAAUUUUUAGAUACCUUAACGCACUCAUAAUCUAGGAUUAUGCUAUCUAAAAAGUUCAUCUUUUGCUUUGCAUGCUUAUUCUAAUGCAGAUUUUGGUGGUUGCAAAAUUGAUAAAAAAAGCACUUUCGAUACUUGUUAAUUAUUUUAGAAUAUGCUCAUAUCAUGGUUCUUCCAAGAAACAAAAUAAUGUUACUCAAUCCACAACUAAAUCGAAUAUGUAAUGGCCAGUAGUUAUUGUGCUUAAGUUUUGUAAAUUAAGCAAUAAUUAGAGGUUUUUGGAAUUAUCAUGGAUCACAUUCCCAUUAAAUGUGGUAAUACUAGUGCCAUCAAUCUCACCAAAAAUCUAAUUCAACAUUCUAAAACCAAGCAUAUUGAAAUUAGGCAUUACUUUAUUAGAGAUCAUGUUCAAAAGAUGAUAUUGUGCUUGAAUAUGUUGAUACCUUGCAUCAAUUAGUUGAUAUUUUCACAAAAUCUUUUGAUAAUGAUAGAUUUUAUACAAUUACAAUGUGAACUUGGUAUGAUGCAUGCUUUUUGAAAUGAAUUUCUUGAUGGUAUGAUAAAUAUUGCUAUUUUAAUUGAUCAAAUGUAUGUUUAUCUUGACCAUUUUUUUUAAUCUUGUGUAGAUUAUCUAAUGCAUAUUUGAAUGUUCAUAUUGCAAAAUUUUUAAAUUAUUUUAAAAAAAUUGCUACAGGCAAAAUCGAUCAAUCCUUCUUGGACCAGAUCAAUUGGUUUUUCAUUUAGUAGCAAAUUAAAGGAAAAUGUUAAGGAACCGAUCAAUCCCUUUGGACCGGAUAGAUCGAUUUUCCAUCCAGUAACCAAAUUAAGUGAAAAAUGUGAGAAACUGAUCGAUCCCUCUUAUGAACCUGAUUAAUCGAUCCAUGGCAAACCUAUGCCCGAUCUAUCCCUCUUUAUAACCGAUCGAUCGACUCAUGCAAAACUAACAUUAUGCACAUUAUUUUGGCUUCUUCAAAAUCAGGGUAUCUUCUCUUUUUUAACCAAUCAUUCCAACCCUUCAUCUCUUCUUCUUUUUCCCCAAACACCUUCUUCUUAAACCCUAGGAAUUUUUUCUCUAUUUUCUUUUAAAAUUCAUCUCUCUUAACCAAAAUCAUUUACAAAUUGCUUCAUUUCUAUUUGAUUUCUUACAAAAAUCAUCCUUAAAAAUCUUUAAAUCACACAAAAAUCUCUACUUAUUAUUCUCACUCUAAAAAAUUGAUCUUUUUUUAAACUAAUAUAUUCACUCAAUUUUCUUGCCUCUUUCAAACAUAUUUUACUACUUAUCACCUAUAAUCACCAAUUUUCUAAUCAAUUUUAUAUAAACCUACAUAUUUCCACUAUCCUAUUAUUUUCAUAGCCCUAAAGACUAAAAGAAAUGUUGGAACAAUGAGAAUCCUUCAAGGGAGGCUUUUAAUUCAUCAAUGAGGCCUUCAUUUAAUCAAAAUUUACAAAUCCUAAUGCUAAGGAGAGAUAUCAAAUACACUUUGCUCAUAGAAAAGUCAAGCAUGAAAGGGUAAUCUCUCUUGAAUUCCUACAAUCUAUUGAGUUUCUUUAUUUGCAUGUAUUUGAGAGAUUUUGGUGGAUGAACUAUUUGUGCAUGGAUGAAAUUUUAUUUGAAAAUCUAGUUAAAGUGUUCUAUAGCAAUGCUACUUGUAUUGAAAUUGAAGGGUCUGCAUAUAGAUAUUAUCUUAUAGAUUUAAAACCUAUGUGAUGGGCAAAAAAAUUGUAGUUAGUAAGUAAUUAUUAGCUGAAGUAUUUAUGCUAGAUGAUGAGAAAGACACCAAAACUAAGUGUGACAUGUUAGAACUAGCUCAAGAUAUAUUUAAAAAUGACAAUUUAAGAGUUGCUCCUAGUCAAACCACUAGACUUUCAAUACAUGAUAGGUUAUUACACCUUAUUGUCACUCAUUAUUGACAUGUUUGGCAUUCAAUACUCAAUCAUUAAGAAACAAGAUUAUUGAUGGAUGUACAAAAUCAAACAUGUCGAAAAAUCCAAUCUGGGUGCACUUUUAUUUUCAGUGAUAUGUGAAUGUAGUACAAAAUAGAGACUACAUCUUAGUAUAUAGGUUUGCAAUCAGUAAUCUUUUGAAAAAAUUAGGGAUUAAUACUAGAAGUGAUAAAAAAUUAUGUUUAAUGAUCCAUUUAGCAUUAUAGUGCUCCUACUCUACAUAGUAUGGGAUACACAUAAAAUGAAGCUAGGUUAUGGAUUAAAAAAUUGAAAUUAGGGUUGUACAAUAAGAGAAUAAGAAAAAGAGCAAUGAUACCUCAUAUAUUCUUUAUGCACCUUCAAGAAGAACCUUUACCCCACCAUUUGAUAUCCAAGAAGCUUUAGAAAUGCUUAUGCUUCAAAUAAAUAGUUUACACUCAUACUGAGACUAUGAAUUCUAGAUGAAAAAUAUGAAAAUGACCCUAACAAGAGUUGGUUUCCCAAAUUUGCCAAGUUAGAGCUAAUAUUGAACACAUUUGGAAUGCAUAAUAACAAAUAAGGCAGUAUUCUCCUCAUUUUCCUCAUUCUCCACCUCCUCUUCAAUAAUCAUUCCCAAUGCCAUUUCUCAUAUGUUUUCCCACAUCUUUGGUUUUUUUAUGUUGUAAAUUUUUCCUUAAAAACACUUUGCAGUAUGUUUUCUUAUCAAUGUUUAGUAUUUGAUGUUUAUACUAAUGAAAUAUACAUUUCAGCUUCAUUAUGAUAUUUGCCAAUCACUUUGAAAUUUGACUUGUGAAAUUGGUAUAUUGCUUAAUGAUUUGACAUUGAGAUUGGUAUGAGCUUGAAUUGUGAAAUUGAGUUGGUAUGGUCUCGAAUUGAUUGCCAUCUUCCUUUAAUUAACUUCAUCUUUUUUGCUAUGAUAAAAAAAAAAAAGAGAAAAAAUGGUAUAAAAUGUUUUUAUUUGAUUGAUGAUCUUGAUGAUAUGAGAAAUUCCUACUUGAUGAUCUUGAUGGUAUGAAAAAUUCCUAUUUGAUGAUAUUGACAUUGUUCUUGUUCUUAGUUUUUUUUAAAUCUCUUAAAAUUUCCUUAUGCUUAAAUCAGGGGAGCUUAUUUUUCAAGUGGAAAAAUGUUUUUUAAGCAAAAUUUUCACUUGGUUUUGUUCAUAUCAAAAAAGGGAAGAUUGUUAGCCUUGAAUUGAUUAAAAGUUUUGAAUUGACAAAAUAAAAAUUUGCCUAACUUGAAUCAAAUUCUUUAAUCUUAAAUUGAACAUUUUUCCAGUAUUCUAUCUUGUCAAAAUUCAUUUAAGAACUAAAACAAACAAAUUUUGGAAACAAAACGGGUUCAUGGCAUGUUUUGGAUAGAAAGGAUUGAUCCCCUAUGAGGAGGAUCGAUCCCCUCCUUUGCUCAAUCGAUCCCCUGGCCAAAGGGAUCGAUCCAUUUUUCUUCCAAAAGAAAAACUUUUGGAAAUUCAUUAAGAACCAAUCAAUUCUCUCCCUGUAGGGAUCGAUUGGUUAGGGUUUGAACUUAUCUGAUCGAUCCCUCCCUUAAAGGGAUCGAUUUGUUUUUUAUACUGAAUGCAAAAUGGGGUCGAAAAACAACAAAAGGGAUCGAUCCCCUCACAUAGAGGAUUGAUCACCCAAGCACUAAAUCAAUUAGGUAUACUACUUAAUCGAUCAAGUAUGUGUUUUCUCGCCACAAAAUUGGGUCUUCCUAUAACUGAUCCAAUCGAUCUCCUACAUGAGGGGAUCAAUCCCCUAAUGCCCAAAGAACCCCAAUGGCUAUUUUUUUAUAUGAUAUUUUACAAGUUUGAAGCAUUAAAUGCAAAACAACGACUAUCUACUCCUUUUCUAUAUAUAAAUGAAGGCUUCUAUCAAGAGUAUGAAAAGCUAAGAAGAACUUAUUGCCUCCAUCAACCAUCUUAUGCAAUCAUUCAAAACCAGUUCAAAGAGAAAAGCGUAAAAAAUCUUUCAUGUAUUAGUUUUUCUCUAAAUUCUCUUGUCAAUAUUACUUUGUACUUCAAGCUAGCAAACACCUAACCUUAGAAAGGUUAUUUAAGUUUGCAAAACACUUCAAAAACUUUGUAUUGUGAGAUUGUGAGCUUAAGGGAGAAGAUAACCCUUAAGAGUUUGUGGCGUUGAUUGUCUAGAGCUUUGAGAAGCUAAGUUGUAACCUUCAACAUAUAGUAGAUUAAACUCCUUAGCAUGUGAGGCUAAGAGAGAUGAUGUAGGUGCCUAAAAAAAGAACCGAAUCUAUACAAAUCUUUGCUAUUUAAUUCUUCAUCUCUAUCUCUUAUUUUCUUUAAGAUUGUUAGUUUACUUGCAUAUCUUGUGUUCAUUUGACUUAGAAAAUUUGUUUUAUAGAAUUUGUACUUAUUAGAUAUUGAUUUUUGAAAAUUUUAUUAUCAACCAAUUCAUCUCCCUCUUGGUCUAUUUUAAGUCUUUGAAUUAACAAAAAUGAUUGUUCUUUAAUUUAAUAAUAAAUUAAUAAAAUAUUUUUAUACAAAUUAGGCCAUAAUCUAAAAAUAUGGGAAGAGAUUGCACGUGCAUGAAUUUGAAUAUUAAUAUGUUAUAAUUUCUUUAAAUAAAAUAUUUAAGUUAAUCACUUUUAACAUUUUUUGAAUUCACAUUUUUACGUAGAGAAGAUAUAAAAUUAGCAUUUUUAAUUUUCCUUUUAAUAUAAUAAUUAAUUAAUUAAUGUUUUAUCUAUUUAAUCUACCAUUUUUAUUAAAAUAUAAAAAUAAUAAUGUAUUCAAAUAUUUUCCUAUUAUAACUCCAUUUGUUUCAUAAAAAGUAACUUUUAAAAAAUUAUUUUUGCAUUUUCAGCUGUUUAUUUGGUAGAAAACUAAUUGACUAACGAAAUAUGAUUUAAUGGUCAACAAAUAAUGUGGCAAUUUUUCUAAAAAUUGUCUUACCAUUUUCAAAAAGAAAAGAUAAUUUCCAAAAAAUAACUGUUUAUAAAUAUAAUUACUUUCAAUGUGUUUAAGUAUGAUUUUAUGCAUGUUAGAUCCUGUACAUGAUUUUUUAAGUUCAAAUUUAAUUUGAUUCGAUUUAAAAUAUUAUUAUAUUAAUAAAUAAUAUUUUUAUUUAAUUUUAUUUAAAAAUUAAAAAUUAAAAGAUUUCUAAUCUUAACAUUUUUAUUGUUAUACUCAAAUAAGAUUUUGAAUAUAAUAUUUUAAAUUCGAACUUAAUUUGAUUCGAUUUAAAAAAUUAUUAUAUUAAUAAAUAUAUUUUAUUUAAUUUUAAUUAAAAAAUCAAAACAUUAGCAUUAAAAGUUUUUCAUAUUUCAAUUUUAAAUAUUUUUAUUUUUAUAUUAUUAACAAAAUAUUUUUAAUAUUUCAAUAAUAAAUAGUAUAUAUUAUUAUUUUAAUAUAAAUAAUAACAUAUCAAAUAAUAUGUUUAUUACUUUAAUAAUUAAUGUUAAAUAAUAUAGUAAUAUUAUUUUCUUAAUAUGAAUUUCUUUUAUAAUUUCUUAUUAUUUUAGUUUAAAAUAUAUUAAAUUUAUAUUUUUUUAUUAUGGUAUUUAUAUUACUAUUUUAAUAGUAAAUAUAAAAUAAAUUUUUUUUUUAAUUAAUAGUAGACACUUUCAAUACAAAAUAUAGAUAUUUUAAUAGUAUAAAUAUUUUAAUAACAAAUAUUACUAUGUUAAUAUUAAUAAAAAUAAUAUUUAAGAAAACUAAUACUAUUUAAAUAUUUUAAAAUAUUAAUAUAAAAUAAUAAAUAAUUUAUUUAAGUAUUUUUAUAUCAAUAUAAUAUUUUAAUUAAAUAUUAUUAUAAAAUAUUAUUAUUAUUGAAUAUUAAUAAUUUUAAUAAUAAAUAAUUUCAACAUACUUUAAUAAUAAAUAAUUUGAUAUUUUAAUAGUUAUAUUAAUAUUAUUUAAAAAAAAAAAACAGAUUUUCAAAAAACAACCCAACAAUAAAAGCAUUUUUUAUUAAUUCGUUAAAUAACAGAAAAUUUUAUCUAUUUAAAAAAUGUAAACAUUUUUUUAAAAAAUAUUUUUUGAAAUCAAUUUCUGCAAACGGAACCUAAAUAAUACCAGCUUUUGCAUCACUUUCAUAUGAAGCUGAAAACUGAAGUAUGGAUUAUUAUACUUGAUGAGUAGUGACAUAUAACAGAACUUUCGACGCAGAGUAAACCAAAUAAGCUUUAGCAGAAUUUACUUGUGCCUCUAAUCUAAAUGGUAAAUGCAGGUACCUUCAGGGAGCUCGCAUUUUAGUGACUCAAAUCUGGAUGUCGAUUCUGUGGUCUCCAUUGAUGAUGACCAACCAAUUUCAGAUGUUGAUGUUGUAAAAAACAAGGACCGAUUCAACGUCUGUUUCCACAACCUUUCGUGCUCGCUUUGUUGGUCAAGGGUACAAACAGGUAACACCAACCAUCUUGGCUCCUUGUUCUUGGUUCUUUAAACAAAAAUGUUGAUAUCGUAGGCUUCCAUAAGAGUUCGUUUUUCCAUUCAAAUUUCUAUUGUUUUUUCUUUUAAAAUAUUUUGGCAGAAGUGAUAUAUAUGUUUUGCAGCCUGUUAAGUGCUAGUUUCUCAUGGUAAGUUCUAACCUUGAGUCAGGUUUGUGGACAGGCAGAUGUAUGGGGUGAUGGAGUUGUGCCAGAAUUAUCAGCUCAUCUAGAGGGAGCACUUAACAUUAGCUUGGAUGGAGUCUACCACUCACCGGUUGGUUCAGAUGAUGUAUCGAGACCAUGGUAUGGUUCUCCCGCAGUUGUAGAGCAGUGGAUAGAUCAUCUCGUCAACUAAUCAAGUCUGAGAUACUAAAGUCAAAACUAAAAAAAAAAAAAAAAAUUCAUUUAACAUCGAUUUAUCAAUUAUCGAUGAACUUAUUGCACCCAAUAUUAUUCUUUGUAUACUUGCCAAUAUUUGAAAUUGGUGUUUUUUCUUCUUUCAUUUUGUUUCUUACCUUUUCCUUGGAAAUCCUUAAUUGGAAAUCCUAUCACUUGCAACCUUUUAUUUUAUUCUCAUGUUACAGGUCCAUUUGUAACAGAGAAAAAACGAAAACAAAAAGAAUCGCCAGCUGUAUAUUUAUACUAGCCUUGUUAAAUGCCAGGUAGGGGGGAAGAGAGAAAGGCCUCAAGCUUUUACCCCGGGGCAGAAGGCCAGGAGAGAUGCAUCUAUAAACAGUUCUUACUUCUUAGGCAAUCCCAUGGAGCUAAGCCUGCCAGAUCUUGUUUCCCCCACUUUCAAAACAAAACCUUCAAAUUUCAAUAUUUUUUCCCCAACUUACAAUCCCAAUUAAUAUUGACAUUUUCACAAUCAUCAUAGACCAUGGAAAAUCAAUGAUGACUAUAGGCUAUAUGUGACAAGAGCUCCCUGAUCCAACCACUAAUGUUUGUAUGGAAACUCAAAUCAUUGUAAAAAUAACCCAACUUUAAGAAACCUUUCUAACUGAAAACUUAACUAACCUAACCGGGAUGGACAUGAAAUUCAAGAACGGCAUGCAUCCUAUAUUAAUUUGAACCUCAAAUUAAGCAAUAUGCUAGAGCACGGCUCAUUGCAUGGGAAGUCACUGAGCUCACAAUGUUACCGCUUGCCCCACCCAUAAACGAGCCAGCUUAUAUAACGGUGAACUUUGAAUGUUAAAGUCAACAAUGGUUUCCACAUGGUUGAAUGAUUAAACUACUGGUUGAUCACAGAUCCAGUUGCCAUACAAAGUAAAAUUAAAAUGCAGCUUUUUCGGUCUCAAGUCCCUACUAAAUAUUUACACAAGUCCAACCUAAAAACAUUCUCAGUUGCCAGACCACCCCAAAGAGUUCAGCUCUCAAAACGACAUGCAAAACAUGAACAUACAUUGAAAAGAGUUCAGAUCAGAAUGACAAGAAGAGCUAGCUCGACAUUGGUUGGGUAGCACAAGUCCAAAUACAACAAUAGAGGUCAGGUAGUCUUCACAAAGUGGUGGGAUAACAUUUUUCCAAUCUCCAGGAAACCAAUCUUUUCUUUUCCAUCGAAAAAUGGUCUUAAGCUUUGCAUCACAAAAGAUCUCCCUCUUGUUGUUGGGAUUCUGCAGGCAAAAGUAUCCGUAUAUGUUAGUGUAUGUUAUUAGACAGAAAUUUUCCUCAUAACACAAUGUCUGAGUCACUCAAAAUGAUAUCUGAACAAAAUAUAUUAAACAUAAAUUAGUAAAAUCAGCAACUUUAACAUCAUGACAAGCAGCAUAUAUGGCAACUGCUAACAUGAUCCAGCAAACAAAGAAACACUAGCAUCCAUGUGAAAUUAUGAUCAAGGGUAUUGUUUCCUGCCUAUAAGAAACACAUAUAUGGCCAGAAUAAAUUUGUGUUACCCAACUUCAUAAACAUAAUAUGAAACACAUGCAUGAGGUUAGAAGAUCAGCUGACACUGCAGGGAGACUUAUCUCAACUAUUCUCCCAUAUUCAUCUUUCCCCAUUCAUGAUCUCUUUUCACCAUUAAUAGCUAAUCAGUAAUAAGAUGCCAAUCAAAUGCCCUAAAAGGUCAAAUGUUUAGAUUGUUUGUAGUGAAUGCAUAUGCCAUGGGUGAAUAUAUGGAAGAAAGUAGGAUUCUCCAAUGAAAUCUCUUAAGCAAGCAUUAAAGAGUAAAAAGGAAGCAGAGGGUGAAAACAUUGCCUAGGAGGGACGCACAUAACAAGAAAGAGAAUGAAACACCAAAUACAACAAGCCACUAGACAACUCAAUCACCAAAUACCUAAAGCACCUAUUGCUCUCUGACUCCUUGUCAAGGACAGUCUCAUUAGGCUACUUCCUCCUUUCAAUUUGUUUACCCUCCUCUAGGAUCUAACACUAAAUUGAAGGAACAAGCCACCCUAGAUUAAAGUCGGAUUCUUCAAUAUCCUCGUAUAAUUCUUUUUAUGUCCUUUCCCUCGUCCUUUUCAAUACCCAUCCAGCAAACUAAACUCUUGAAACUCUGUGGAAAAGCAAAUGAAGACAUCAAUUGUCACAAGAAACAGGAAAGUCCCAUUCCAGUUUUCCAGUCUCAAAAUUUUCUACCUAAAAUCCAAGCAAAAUUUUAAUGUGUCGAAAACCAGGAAAUGCAAGAAGAAGGGCCAUGGUGGGAUAACCUGAGGUAAGCAGAGGUGACGGACUCCAAAGUUUUAGAAAUCGCUUUUGGAACCGUCCCUUCUUUGCUUUCACCUUUACAACACUUUCUUACAUGAAGAAACUAAUAUUUAACUUCUGUCUCAUCCCUUCUCUGAGUUAUACCCAGGUUUUCUCCUAUAAAUGUCACUUUUAAAUCCAGAACAAAAACAACCCCCCCCCCCCCCAAAAAAAAAAAAGAAAAAACCAAAAGAAACAAAUCAAACACAUAAAACACCAAAGUUGAACAGCAUUUCCCCAGACAUUUACUCAAGCCAAAAUUUAUUUACCGGUUUUUUUUUUCAUAUUUUCAUCAUUCACAAAAUAGAUUAAAAUAAAUAAGCUUUAAUAAAAUAAAAAUAAAAAUCCCAAGGGAAGAGUGCCAAAAACACAAAGGAAAAACAACCCAAAAAGCUAUCAGCUAAAGAAAAAAAACCAAAGUAAAAUCCAAAAACAAAAAAACUAUAGUUCCAGGCAAAAGAAAAAUAAAAAGAAAGAGGACCUGGAGGUUGUUGGAUUUGAUAUAGGUCCAGAUCUGCUUAACAGCUUCAGUACGGGAAGCCUGUUCGGCUCCAAGGAACCGACCCAAAGCGGGGAGAAACAGGAGUAACUUUAAAAAUCCCAGAGGGUCGAGUCAUGGUUCGAGGAGCAGCUGGUUUUGCAGUCUUGGGUUUUGAAGUGGUCGACUUUUUUGGAGUUUUCUGAGCCAACUUUGAAGGAGCGGAUUUCGCAGCAGCGCCAGCAGCAGCAGAAGCAGAAGUAUAAACUUGGCUGCUGCUGACGAAAACCCCGCCGCCGCUGGGGAAGCUAACAGCGCCCUGAAACCUUUUAAAACCCUAGACAUCUUUGGUUGCUUAAGAGAAUUUCGCCUUUGAUCUUUUGCUGUCGGGUGAACUGAGAAAGCAAGCUUUCCGGAGCGGCCUUUUAAAAUAGAGAGAGGGGCCUCGUGGGGUUUCACCCUUUCUCGGUACUAGGCCUGUUUGCUUUUGCUAGUGUAACAUCUAGUAGUACGAAGGUUUGUUGUACAACUUGCCACGUCAACAUUUUAUUAAAAAAAAUUUCCCUCUCGUAUCAUGCUUCCAUUUUGAAUUUAAAAAAUAUAUAAAAAAAUACGACAACUAACGCCUCUUUUAACAUCUACUAGAAGAAAUACCUGCAUUUUGUUGCAGCUAAACCAAAAUCAACUUAUUUUAAAAGAUUUAUAAAAUGAAUAUUCCACAAUACUCUAUUAAAUAUUACUAUAUACAAUUUGAAUAGGAAUUAGCUUAAACAAUAUAUAUCAUUUAAUUAUAGGCACGAGGAUGGACUUUAAAAUUAACUUGAAAAAAAAAUCUUGAAAUCAAUUAUAAUUUUGCAUGAAGAAAAACUUAAAUAAAAAAUAAAUCCAGUUAUAAAAUUAUAACAUAAAAUAGUAAAAUUAAAAUUGAUUUUUACCUUGUUUUCUUACAUAUUAAAAGUUAUGAUCACAUUUUUUUAUCUUUAUAUUUUUUACAAAGUAAGCUAACUAAGAAAAAUUCUAAGACAAUUCAAAUACUAAAUAAACAUUACAUCUUAGCUUAACCUUUAAAAUUACUUGUUCAAAUAACAUAUCGUUCAACUAUACCCAUGGGGAGUUGCAUUUUGCAAAAUUGCGAAAAACAUUUUUCAUUGCUUAUUUGAUGGCCUAUAAACUGGUAGGUUUUGUUGCACCUGAAGCAAUAAUCACAACAAUACAGAAGUAAUAGACAACAAUCAAUAAUCAAAUGCGCAGGAAAAAUAAAGCACACCAAGAUUUACGUGAAAAACCCUCCAGUGUAGAGGGAAAAACCACGGGGCCACCAGAAAAAAUCUUCACUAUCAAAUAAUAGUUAUACAAAGUUCUUCUCUAGCUAAAACUAGAGCUAAUCAACAACUAGAGAAACAAUUGGAGAAAUCUCACCAAAUAAGUGACUCAACAAAUACACCCUGGAUUUGUUCCUAGAGAGCUUCAAACCCGAUCUUCACCGUUCAGAAUGUAUAGCUCUAAAUCAUAAACCUUCUGACAAGGUUUCAACUCAAUCGGACCACGGAUCGACUUCCGUUUAACCAACUUUCCCUUCUCCUUUUUCUCUCUCUACUUUUCCUGGCUUUUCUUCUUUCUCUGCUUGGUUGUCAACACACACCUUAAACAACCCCACCUCUUUUUUAUUAAGUAGCUAGGGCUCUGUGUAAAAUAAAAGAUCAAGGCCCAUGGCCUUUACUUGGUCCAAACCACUUACAUGGGACUGGACCCCAUUUUCCUAACAAUCUCCCCCUCCAGUCUCAUUAGAAGGAGAUUCAUCACCAUAGCAAUUUCAUUGGAACUUACCUUGGCCAGGGAACUCAUUCCGGCCAAGUUACUGCAAAGCUCAAGCUUUUUCCUGGAAGUAUCUUAGUCAACAUAUCUGCCACAUUUUUAUUAGUAUGGACUUUUUUCAAUAGCAUCUGCUGUUCUUCAAUCACUGAACGUAACCAAUGAUAUCUAACAUCAAUGUGCUUUGUUCUAGCAUGGUACAUGAUAUUCUUACUCAAAUCUAAGCACUCUGACUAUCACAAAAUACUACAUACUCUUUCUGAUUCAACCCCAAUUCAAGAAGAAAACGUUUCAUCCAAAGCAUUUUUUACAUGCUUCAGUUGCUGUAAUAUACUCAGCCUCUGUAGUUGACAAAGCAACACACUUUUAUAACUUAGACUGCCAAGAUACAGCUCCUCCUGUAAAAGUGAACAAAUACCCUGAAGUAAAUUUUCUACCAUCAAGAUCGCCUGUCAUGUCAGCAUCAGUAAACCCUUCUAGAACUGGUUGUGAAACUCCAUAAGUCAAGCACAUUUUUGAGGUACCCCUCAAAUAUCUAAAAAUCUAUUUUACUGCUUCCCAGUGAACUUUUUCUGGAUUAGAAAGAAAUCUGCUCACUACACCAACUGCAUGAGCAAUAUCAGGCCUUGUACAAAUCAUAAGAUACAUUAAAGAAUCGACUGCAGAAGAAUAAGGAAUACUAGACAUAGCUAGUUGCUCUUCCUUAGACACUGGACAAGAUUUCUUACUUAGAUGAAAAUGGUUGGCAAGUAAACUACUAACUAAUUUAGCAUGUUACAUGUUGAAUCUACUAAGUACUCGUUCAACAUACUUUUCCUGUGACAACCACAGCUUUCCAGCUCUCCUAUCCCGGAUAAUAUCCAUACCAAGAAAUCUGCUUUGCUGGACCUAAAUCUUUCAUAUCAAAAGACUUAGACAAUUGUUCUUUCAACCUGCAAACCAUACUAGCAUCUUGUCCUACAAUCAACAUAUCAUCAACAUAUAAUAAUAGGAUAAUGAAGUUAUCAUUAGGGAAUUGUUUAACAUACACAUAAGAAUCCGCUGCUGUUCUUUUAUAGCUAUGACUCACCAUAAAAGAAUCAAACUUUUUGUACCACUGUCAUGGAGCUUGUUUCAAGCCAUACAAGCUUUUCUUCAAUUUGCAAACUAAGUGCUCUUUCCAUUUUACUUCAAAACCCUCAGGAUGAUUUAUAUAAAUGUCCUCCUAUAAAUCACCAUGCAAAAAUACAGUUUUAACAUCAAGUUGCUCAAGUUCAAGAUUCAAACUAGCUGUCAAUCCCAGUACCACUCGAAUAGAACUCAUUUUUACAACUGGAGUAAAAAUCUCAUCAAAAUCGAUGUCUGAUUUCUGAGAAAACCUUUUACUACCAAUCGAGCUUUGUACCUCACUAGUUUGUCACCAUCUUUUUUCAACUUGAACACCCAUUUAUUCUUUAAUGGCCUCUUCCCUGUUGGAAGUUUAACAAGAUCAUAAGUACCAUUCUUUCGUAAUGACUCCAUCUCUUCUUUCAUUGCCUUUUAACCAGUGCUCUCUAUCCGGAGUAACCUGCACAUCUUGAAAGCUUUCUGGCUCUCUUUCACUGGUAACUAAAAUAAAUCUGAACUUGGAUACCUGGUAGAUGGCCUGCGCUCUCUAGUAGAUCUCCUGAGCUGAGACUCUACAUCACUUGAUGCUGAGGUAGCUCCCCACUGCUCAACACUCUCAGGUAGAGAGGAUUGCUCCCCCUACUCAAAACUAAUAGCAUCUGGCUCAUCACCAACUAUGGCUGGCUCAUCAUAUCCCCAAGUUCUGUUUCUGGCUCAUUUUCACCAUCUGUGGCUCUUUCCUGUGAAAUCCCUGUCGGUGUUGAAACAUCACACUCAACAGUAACUCGUGUAGUCUUCUCAUUUUUCUCAAGGUCUGCUAUGGUUUCUUUUUCAUGAAAGACCACAUCUCUGCUUCUGACUGUCUUUCUCUUUACUGGAUCCCAUACCCUGUAGCCAAAUUCCUCAUCACCAUAUCCUACAAACACACACUGUGUAGCUUUACUAUCAAGCUUUGACCUCUGCUCUUUUGGUACAUGCAUGAAUGCUUUACACCCAAAAACUUUCAAGUGAGAGUAUGAAGCAUCUUUCCNNNNNNNNNNNNNNNNNNNNNNNNNNNNNNNNNNNNNNNNNNNNNNNNNNNNNNNNNNNNNNNNNNNNNNNNNNNNNNNNNNNNNNNNNNNNNNNNNNNNNNNNNNNNNNNNNNNNNNNNNNNNNNNNNNNNNNNNNNNNNNNNNNNNNNNNNNNNNNNNNNNNNNNNNNNNNNNNNNNNNNNNNNNNNNNNNNNNNNNNNNNNNNNNNNNNNNNNNNNNNNNNNNNNNNNNNNNNNNNNNNNNNNNNNNNNNNNNNNNNNNNNNNNNNNNNNNNNNNNNNNNNNNNNNNNNNNNNNNNNNNNNNNNNNNNNNNNNNNNNNNNNNNNNNNNNNNNNNNNNNNNNNNNNNNNNNNNNNNNNNNNNNNNNNNNNNNNNNNNNNNNNNNNNNNNNNNNNNNNNNNNNNNNNNNNNNNNNNNNNNNNNNNNNNNNNNNNNNNNNNNNNNNNNNNNNNNNNNNNNNNNNNNNNNNNNNNNNNNNNNNNNNNNNNNNNNNNNNNNNNNNNNNNNNNNNNNNNNNNNNNNNNNNNNNNNNNNNNNNNNNNNNNNNNNNNNNNNNNNNNNNNNNNNNNNNNNNNNNNNNNNNNNNNNNNNNNNNNNNNNNNNNNNNNNNNNNNNNNNNNNNNNNNNNNNNNNNNNNNNNNNNNNNNNNNNNNNNNNNNNNNNNNNNNNNNNNNNNNNNNNNNNNNNNNNNNNNNNNNNNNNNNNNNNNNNNNNNNNNNNNNNNNNNNNNNNNNNNNNNNNNNNNNNNNNNNNNNNNNNNNNNNNNNNNNNNNNNNNNNNNNNNNNNNNNNNNNNNNNNNNNNNNNNNNNNNNNNNNNNNNNNNNNNNNNNNNNNNNNNNNNNNNNNNNNNNNNNNNNNNNNNNNNNNNNNNNNNNNNNNNNNNNNNNNNNNNNNNNNNNNNNNNNNNNNNNNNNNNNNNNNNNNNNNNNNNNNNNNNNNNNNNNNNNNNNNNNNNNNNNNNNNNNNNNNNNNNNNNNNNNNNNNNNNNNNNNNNNNNNAAGCAAAAAACAAUAAAUUAAGAUUGAAAAUUCUAACUAAUAGGAAAUUAUCAUUAUGGUUGCAUUAAAGGUAUCAAUACGAUAAUGUUUGAGUUGCUUGUUAAUGACAUGAUAAUAAUAUUUUAGUUUUCAGUUAAUAGUAUCAAUUCAUAUAAUAUAUAUUGAUAUUUUUUUGACAAUUCAAUUACCUUUUGAAAUUAUUAGUCGAAGUUUUGAAUUUUACAAGUCCUGAUUGAUGAGUUUGUUGAUGAAGAAAUAAUUUAGAAAAUUAAGUCUUGGGUAAUAACAAACAUGGGUGCUAAGUGGAGGCAAUGGACGAACGAAUUGAAAUCUAAAUUUUAUAAUGAAUACAAGACACGAAGAGAAAAUACUGUAAAAGUUGAUUUUCAAGUAGACAAUAUCCAAUUCUUGUUUUUUACUGCACAUUAGUUGACUAAUAAAACGAAGAUAAAUGCUUGUAAAAUAUACUAUUUAUUUUCUUUUAACACUAUGAUAUAAUAUGGCUAUUAUAAUAUAUAUUUUCUUUUCAUUAAAGGAAUAAAGUGAGACAAACAAAACAAAUUGCUCAAAACUAGAUGAGCCUCAAUGCGUAAGAAUGAAGUCAUUUUCGAGGAUCAUUCAAACCUUAGUACAUAUAUCAAUUUUCUUUGUGACACUCAGUUAAACGAAUAUGAAGUUUACUUUUUAUAUAUGUGAUUUUAUCAUUACAAUAAUUAAUAUUAUACCUUUAUAGAAACAAUAAGCUAAUGGAAUUCCACCACCAUCACGUGCUAAGAUGUAUAUUCUUUUUUAUACACAUAAAGAUGAAAGUGUUAUGAAUGACAAGGUAGCUGAAUUUGUGGUAUUUAAUUUAGUUUAUACUUGAUUUUACUUAUGUUUAGUUUAUUUGUACUAAAAUGUUUGUUUACAAUUUUAACAACUCAUGAAAAAUAAAUUUGAGUAAAACUAGGGCUCAAAAUUUUGAAAAUAGUUCAUGAAAAGAUUAUGUUUAUUCAAAAGUUAAAGGGUUACAGAGAAAAGGCCGUGUUCAUUGUAUGGGUACAAUAUCUACUUUAUCUAAAUAAUAUGGUCCUUCAUCUUCUGAAUUGGUCUAACAUAAGGAAGAUGUACAAGUGUUGAAUGCUGAAAUUAAAGACUUGAAAGAAACUUUAAGUACUAUCUUAUCAUUACUUCAAAAAUAAUUUUUUAAUAAGAAUAUGGAUAUCUCGAAUACUAUUGCCCACAUAGUGAAUAGAAAGGUAUAUAUAACAUCUAUUUUAGUUUAUAUAUAUGUAAAUUAUCAUCUUAUUCAUGAAUCUUAAAUUUUAUUCAAAUUUCUUUUGAAUUAUUUUAGGUUCUUGAUGCUAGUAAUACUCCAGAAAUCACAAGUGAAAACUAUUAGUCUUCAAAUUCUAGUCACCAAUCUAAUAAAAAAAAAUGUAAACUCAUUGGCACGUUGCAGUAAUUCUUGCUAAUAAAUUGUUAUAUAAGUGGAUGUGAACCAAAAACUGUGUUUGUUCCAAUUAUGAUUGUUCCAGUUUCGAUCAUUGUGUUUAUGGAGUGCUAUAAUUAUUUUUUAAACCUAUGUUUCUAUUCAUAGUUAUGCAUUAUUAUCUCUUCUUGUACAUAUUCCUCUCUUAGACUAAAUAGAUUUUUGAGCUUUGAUAUGUUGAAAACGACUUGGAACUUUGUCAUAGCUAUUCCAGAUGGUAAACUUAUUAGAAUCUAUUAAUAAAAUAAUAUUGAUAGAAACCAAUAACUUUUUAGAGAUGAUUCCUUGUGUUUUUUGGGGCACCUACUUACUACGGACACUAAAUCUUUUUACUUUUAAUUUAAUUAUCUAAUUGUGUUUUUUAUUUUACAUAUACAUAUGCUUUUAUGUAUAAAUCUAUGUUGGCAUCAUUUGCUUUGAAAAAUUAUUUAUUUACUUCAAGUACCAUGUUUAUAAACAUUCAAUGACAUUUGUUUUUAUCUAAACUUAGUACAAUGACUUUAGUUCUUAACUUAUUCUACGUUUAUAGAUUAUAAAAUAAUUUGCUUGUAGUUAUAUUUGGAAUAUUAUUAAAUAUCUUUUAUUUCAUUGUGUAUUUUCACUUUAUAUGAAAUAACAUCAUAUUAUGAUUAUAAAUAAAUUAAUAUUAAUAAUUCAAAAGAAAAGUUUCCACCAACACUUUAAUAUUUAUAUCGAUGCCCUUUCUGUUCAAAAUAUUUUAGGUUAUAUUAACAUCACCAAAUCGUCAACUAUUGGUAAAAGUAAAAACAUAUGAGGCUAUAUUGAUAAGCAUUAACUAUUGGUCAAUGAUAUAUUGUCAAAUAACCUGUCAUAUAGGUAGGAAAAAUUAAAACAUAUAAGUUUACAUUUAUUGGAGUUAACCAUCGGUAAAAUGUAUAAUGGCAAAACAUACAACAGAUACUAUACCAAUGGAUAUACAAUUACUGAUGAACUCAAACCGUUGGUAUAUUUCUAUUACCCAUUUUGACACUUUAAAAACUAUCAGUAUAGGUCUAUACCAACAAGAGAUAUAUUAAUAGUUAAAAUUUAACAAAAUAUGCAUUUUGACUGACGGUAUAAUGCUUAUUAUGCUAUACUGACGAAUUUUUAAGUUUUACUGAUGAUUUUUUAAGCGUCAGUAUAUGACAAUUUUCAUGUAGUCUUAUAAAUGAGCCUUAAGAAAAUGUAAGCCACUUCCUUGUAUCAUAUAUGUAAAAACAGCUCAAAUUGCUCUUGGAAAAUGAAAAUAAAUAAUAAAACGUGCUAAAUCUUUUACUAUAAGAAAAAAGAAAGUAAUAAUAAUUAAAUUCUUAUUUUUUUUAUAAAUUUUAAAAAAUAAAACUAAUUAAGCUUACAUAUGUCAUAUACAUUAGUAAACAUGACUUACUUCUACUAAAUCAAAUCAUCUCUCUUGUGAACUUGGAUGAAAAUGCAUACAUCAACUAUAUAGAAAAAUUACAACAAACAAAUUUAAUCCUAAAAAAUAAAUCAAACAAUAUAGAAAUAAAUCAAACAAUAUAGCAAAAAAUAGAUAAAAUAAAAUGGAUAAAUAUCAAAUUGAAAGUUUGAAUAACAAAAACCUCAUUUAUCAAUGACCCAAUUUCUAUGGUGAAUAGAUUGAUGUUUUCUAGGUCAAAUCUCUCUUCUUCUUUUUUACUCUCUUUUGUUUCAUCCCUUUUCUUCCCUCUAUUCUUUCGAAAAUAAAAAGAAAAAAAAAUAGAUCUGAUGAAAAGAUCUUUCUUUUUCCUCUUCAAUCUCGUCAUUUUUUUAAUUUCUCUUCAUUUUCCAACAUCCCCUUCCCACCUAAUCCAUUGUCUUUUUUUUUAUUAUUUUUAAUUUUUUCUUGAAAAUCUCAUAUUUCCUAAAAGUCCCAUGCUCAAUCAUUUUGUCUUGCUUUUUUUCAUCACUCUUUCGAAAGUUUUAAACCCAUCCUUUUACUAGAUGGUAUUCUCGCUAUUUUCUUCUCUUUCUUUUUCUCCUUCCAUUUGUCUUUUUCUUAUUCAUUUUUUCUGACUGUGAAACUUUUAAAUGUAGAAGUUUCUACUCUCCCAAUGUGUCUAGAAGCUUUUCACUCUCUCCACCUCUGUUUAAAAGAGGUAGUAGAAUUAUUAGAGAUUACUUUAAAGGAUAACAAAGCAAUAUUUCUAUCCUUCAAUGUCUUUUUCAAUUCUCUUUAAAAGACAUUGAAUAGCUAUUCCCCAAAUCAAUGUUUGAAAAACUAUAAGGACAACAAUAAUUGUUUGUUAUACAUACAUAUAUAGAAAAGAAUCCCUAAGGAUAUUACCAAAUACUCUUCUCAUUAUUUGACAAAAAAAUGACAUGUCUAAAUUGACUAUUUUGCCUUCCUAUCAUAAUUACUGUACCUUGCUUACCUUUUGCACCACUUAGCACUUGUCUAAUGAUUUUUUUAAGCUUGCAAAAGUACUUCAGCUCUGAACCAUCCAAGCAUAUCUACCACAGAUAGCUACAAAAACAACCAAUUUGUUCAUCUUUUCUUGGAAAUUACUUGCUUCACAUUAAUACAAAUUAGUAAAAGUUGAAAACAAUUCGACAGUAGUCAAAUUAGAUAGAACACAACGUUUUUAUAUACUUUCAAAAGUGAAAUCAUAUGAAACACAGAGUUUUUAAUUUAUUUGAUUUAUGUAAUAACUCGUAAAAGAUGAUAUUAAGUAGAUUUUAAAUUCAAAUUCCAACAUAUACAAUUACUUCUUAUAUCAUUUAGUCAAGGAUAAUUUUAAUAAUUGAUUUAGUUAAUACAUGUAUGGCUUAUAUGUGUUGUAUUUAAUAGAGUCUAACAAAAUAAAAAUUAAUGAUAGUUAAAAUAAAUUAUUAGCCUUGAAUUGAUUAAAAGUUUUGAAUUCACAAAAUAAAAAUUUACCUAACUUGAAUCAAAUUCUUUUAAUCUCAAACUGAACAUUUUUUCAGCCUUUUAUUCUUGCCAAAAUUCAUUUAGGAACUAAUACAAACAAAUUUUGAAAACAAAAUGGGUUCAUGGCAUGUUUAAGAUAGAAGGGAUCGAUCCUCUCCCUUGCCCGAUCAAUCCCCUGGCCAAAGGGAUCAAUCCAUUUUUUUUUCAAAAGUAAAACUUCUGAAAAUUCAUCAAGAACAAAUCGAUCCCCUCCCUAUAGGGAUUGAUUGGUUAGGGUUUGAACCUACCCGAUCAAUGCCUCCCUUAAAGGGAUCGAUUUAUUUUUUAUACAGAAUGCAAAAUAGGGUCGAAAAAUAACAAAAGAGAUCGAUUCCCCCACAUAGAAGAUCGAUCACCCAAGUAUCUGAUCGAUCAUGUAUACUACCUUAUCGAUUGGGUAUGUGUUUUCUCGUACAAAAUUGAGCUUUCCUAUAACUGACCCAAUCGAUCCUUUACAUGAAGGGAUUGAUCCUCUGAUGCCCAGAAAGCCCCAACGACUAUUUUCUUAUUUGAUAUUUUACAAGUUUGAAGCAUUUAAUGCAAAGCAACGGCUAUCUACUCUUUUCUACAUAUAAAUGAAAGCUUCCACUGCAAAUCAAAAGUAUGAAAAACUAAGAAGAACUUAUUACUUCCACCAACCAUCUUGUUCAAACAUUUAAACCAGUUCAAAGAAAAAAGUGUAAAAAAUCUUUCUUAUAUCAGUUUUUCUUUAAAUCUUCUUGUUAAUAUUGUUUUGUACUUCAAGCUAGCAAACACUCAACCUUAGAGAGGUUUUUUAAGUUUGCAAAAUAUUUCAGAAACUUUGUAUUAUGAGAUUAUGAGCUUAAGGGAAAUGAUAACCCUUAAAAAAUUUAUGGUGUUGAUUAUCUAGAGCUUUGAAAAGCUAGGUUGUAACCUUCAACACAUAGUAAAUUGAACUCAUUAGUAAGUGGGCUAAGGGAGAUGACAUAGAUGUUUCAAAAAAAGAUCGAACCUUUAUAAAUCUUAGUGUCUAAUUCUCUAUCUCUAUCUUUUAUUUUUUUUAAGAUUGCUAGUUUACUUGUAUAUUUUAUGUUCAUUUAACUUAGAAAAAUUAUUUUGUAGAAUUUGUGCUUAUUAGAUAUUGAUUUUUAAAAAUUUUAUUAUCAACCAACCCCUUCUUGAUUUAUUUCAAGUCUUUGAGCUAACAAUUGGUAUUAGAGCUAAUAUUCUUUUUGUAGGUCUACCAACACAAGAGUAAUUCUGAAAAUGUUUCAAAAAAAUAUGGUGAUCAAUAUAGAACAACCAUUCUCAAGCUAUAAUAAAUACAAUGAGCAACAAAAAAUGUGUCUUAUGACAAAUGAAAUAGUCUUUACAUUUCUUGGAAGUGAAAGUCAUUCAAUUACAAGACCUCCUCUCUUUGUUGGUAACAACUAUUCUUAUUAAAAGAUUAGGAUGAGAUUAUUUAUUCAAGCCAAUAAUUAUAAAGUCUGGAGAGUCAUUAUAAAUGGCCCUCAAAUUUCAAUAAAGAUAGUGGAUGAUAGGGAGGUGAUUAAACAAGAUAGUGAAUAGAAUGUCCAUAAUAUGAAGAUGGCUCAACUCAAUGCCAAAACAAUGCAUACAUUCUUUUGUGCAUUGGGGCUUAACGAGUACAAUAAAAUUUUUUUGUGUAAAAAUAUAAAAAAAAUUUGAGACAAGUUGGUCAUCACUCAUGAAGGUACUAAUCAAGUAAAAGAGACCAAAAUUAGCAUGCUCACUUAUGAUUAUGAGUUAUUCAAGAUGAAAUUAGAUAAAACCAUUGUUAAAAUGUCAAAUCGUUUCACCGACAUCAUUAAUAGUUUAAAGGCUAUUGGAAAAACUUACUCAAAUGUGAAAAUGGUAAGAAAAAUUUUAAAUAGUCCAUCAAAGAGCUGGAAGCUAAACUGAUAGCAAUUGAAGAAUCCAAAGAUCCUUAUACACUUUUCUUUGGUAAAACUAAUGAACUCUUUUUUUACCUAUGAGAUGAACUUAAGAAGGGGACAAAAACCAAUAAAAAAGUAGCCAUUUGCCUCUCAAAUCAAUUUUUUUAAAAAGAUUGAAAAAAAUCUUUAGACAUAGAAAAGAUGAUGAAGAUGAAAAAAUAGUCAUGUUUGCAAAAAGAUUUAAGAAGUUCAUAAGGAUGAAUAAGUCUUUAAGUAAAAAAAAGACCACAAAAAAAAUGAUCAAAAGAAGAACAAGUAAAAGAGAAAAAAUUAGAUUAUUUGCUAUGAAUGCAACAAAUUAGAUCAUAUAAAUUUCGAUUAUCCUUUAUGAAAAAAAUAAAACAUGAUUAAAGUCAAAGAAGAAAAGUAAUGGUUACAACAUUGGAGGAUAAUGACUUUUUUCGAUGAUAAAUCAAAUGAAAAAAAAAGAGCUAAUUUUUUUCUCAUAGCUCUUGAUGAGCCCAAGGUGGAUAUCAAGAGUGCAUUUCUAAAUGGUUUUAUAAAUAAAGAAAUGUAUGUAGAGCAACCUCUCAAUUUUGAAAAUCCUAAAUUUUCAAAUCAUAUUUAUAAAUUGACAAAAGCUUUAUAUGGUUUAAAAUAAGCUCCAAGAGCUUGAUAUGAAAGAUUGUCCAAAUUUUUAAUUAAAAAUGGUUUUAAUAGAUGAAAGGUUGAUACUACACUUUUUAUUAAAACAAAAAGAAAAGAUAUUCUUAUAGUGUAAGUUUAUGUUGAUGAUAUCAUAUUUAGUGCUACUAAUGAAGUUCUUUGUCAAAAAUUUGCCAAACUAUACAAAGUGAAUUUGAAAUAAGCAUGAUGGGAAAACUUAUAUUUUUUUUAAGAUUACAAGUAAAGCAAACAAAAGAUGGUACCUUCAUCAAUCAAGCUAAAUACAUCAAGGAUUUACUCAUAAGGUUUAGAUUGAAAGAAUCAAAGCCUUGCUCAAUACCUAUGAGUACUUCAACAAAACUUGACAAGGAUGAAGGAGGUAAAUGUAUUGAUUCUAAGUUAUAUAGGCUAUAAUUGGCUCAUUGCUAUAUCUUACUAUAAGUAGACCAGAUAUAAUGUUUGGUGUAUGUUUGUGUGCUAGAUUUCAAUAAUCACCUAGAGAAUCACAUUUAUCUACUAUCAAAAUAAUUUUUAGAUACCUUAACGCACUCAUAAUCUAGGAUUAUGCUAUCUAAAAAGUUCAUCUUUUGCUUUGCAUGCCUAUUUUGAUGUGGAUUUUGGUGGUUGCAAAAUUGAUAAAAAAAAGCACUUUCGAUACUUGUUAAUUAUUUUAGAAUAUGCUCAUAUCAUGGUUCUCCAAGAAACAAAAUAAUGUUACUCAAUCCACAACUAAAAUCGAAUAUGUAGUGGCCAGUAGUUAUUGUGCUUAAGUUUUGUAAAUUAAGCAAUAAUUAGAGGUUUUUGGAAUUAUCAUGGAUCACAUUCCCAUUAAAUGUGGUAAUACUAGUGCCAUCAAUCUCACCAAAAAUCUAAUUCAACAUUCUAAAACCAAGCAUAUUGAAAUUAGGCAUUACUUUAUUAGAGAUCAUGUUCAAAAGAUGAUAUGGUUCUUGAAUAUGUUGAUACCUUGCAUCAAUUAGUUGAUAUUUUCACAAAAUCUUUUGAUAAGGAUAGAUUUUGUACAAUUAAAUGUGAACUUGGUAUGAUGAAUGCUCUUUGAAAUGAAUUUCUUGAUCGUAUGAUGAAUAUUGCUACUUUAAUUGAUUAAAUGUAUAUUUAUCUUGACAUUUUUUUUAAUCUUGUGUAGAUUAUAUGAUGCAUAUUUGAAUGUUCAUAUUGCAUGGUUUUUAAAUUAUUUUAAAAAAAUUGCUACAAGCAAAAUCGAUCAAUCCUCAUUGGACCAGAUCAAUUGGUUUUUCAUUUAGUAGCAAAUUAAAGGAAAAUGUUGAGGAACUGAUCGAUCCCCCUUAGAUCGGAUAGAUCGAUUUUCCAUCUAGUAGCCAAAUUAAGUGAAAAAUGUGAUAAACUGAUCGAUCGCUCUUAUAAACCUGAUUAAUCAGUCCAUGGCAAACCUAUGCCCGAUCGAUCCCUCUUCAUAAUCAAUCGAUUCAGUCAUGCAAAACUAACAUUAUGCACAUUAUUUUAGCUUCUUAAAAUCGGGUCCCUUCUUUUUUUUGGCCAAUCAUUCCAGCCCUUCAUCUCUUCUUCAUCUUCCCCAAACACCUUCUCCUUAAACUCUAGGAAUUUUUUCUCUAUUUUCUUUUAAAAUUCAUCUCUCUUAACCAAAAUCAUUUACAAAAUUGCUUUAUUUCUAUUUGAUUUCUUACAAAAAUCAUCCUUAAAAAUCUUUAAAUCACACAAAAAUCUUCACUUAUUAUUCUCACUCUAAAAAAUAGAUCUUUUUUUUAAACUAAUAUAUUCACUCAAUUUUGUUGCCUCUUUCAAACAUAUUUUACUACUUAUCACCUACAAUCACCAAUUUUCUCAUCAAUUUUAUAUAAGCCUACCUAUUUCCACUAUUUUAUUGUUUUCAUAGCCCCAAAGACUAAAAAAAAUGUUAGAACAAGGAGGAAUCCUUCGAGGGAGGCUUCUAAUUCAUCAAUGAAGCCUUCAUUUAAUCAAAAUUUUACAAAUCCUAAUGCUAAUGAGAGAUAUCAAACACAUUUUACUCAUAGAGAAGUCAAGCAUGAAAAGGUAAUCUCUCUUGAAUUCUUACAAUCUAUUGAGUUUCUUUAUUUGCAUGCAUUUGAGAGAUUUUGGUGGAUGAACUAAUUGUGCAUGGAUAAAAUUUUAUUUGAAAAUCUAGUUAAAGUGUUCAUAACAAUGUUACUUAUAUUGAAAUUGAAGGGUCUGCAUAUAGAUAUUAUCCUUAUAGAUUUAGAACCUAUGUGAUGGGUAAAAAAAUUGUAGUUAGUAAGUAAUUAUUAGCUAAAGUAUUUAUGCUAGAUGAUGAGAAAGACACCAACACUAAGUGUGACAUGUUGGAACUAGCUCAAGAUAUAUUUAAAAAUAAUAAUUUAAGAGUUGCUCCUACUCAAGCCACUAGACUUUCAAUGUAUGAUAGGUUAUUACACCUUAUUGUCACUCAUGUAUUGGCACUUUUUGGCAUUCAAUACUCAACCAUUAAGAAACAAGAUUAUUGAUGGAUGUACAAGAUCAAACAUGUGAAAAAAUCCAAUCUAGUGCACUUUUAUUUUUAGUGAUAUGAUGAGGGUAGUAUAAAAUAGAGACUACAUCUUAGUAUAUGGCUUUGCAAUCAGUAAUCUUUUAAAAAAAUUAGGGAUUAAUACUAAAAGUGAUAAAAAAAUUAUGUUUAAUGAUCCAUUUAGCAUUCUUGGUGCUCUUUCUCUGUAUGGUAUGGGAUACACACAAAAUAAAGCUGGGUUAUAAAUUAGAAAAAUUGAAAUUAGGGUUGUACAAGAAGAAGAAGAAAAGCAUGAUACCUCAGAUAUUUUUUAUGUACCUCAAGAAGAACCUUCUACCCCACCAUUUGAUAUCCAAAAAGCUUUAGAAAUGCUUAUAGUUCAAAUGAACAAUUUACACUUAGUGACUGAGACUAUGAAUUCUAGAUUGAAAAAUAUAAAAAUGACCCAACAAGAGUUGGUUUCUCAAAUUUGCCAAGUUAGAGCUGAUAUUGUACAUAUUGGAAUGCACAACAACAAAUAGGACAUCAUUCUCCUCAUUUUCCUCAUUCUCCACCUCCUCAUCAAUAAUUCUUCCCAAUGCCAUGCUUCAUAUGUUUUCCCACAUCUUUAAUUUUUUUAUGUUGUAAAUUUUUCCUUAAAAACACUUUGCAUUAUGUUUUCUUAUCAAUCUUUAGUAUUUGAUGUUUAUAUUAAUGAAAUAUACAUUUCAUCUUCAUUAUGAUAUUUGCUAAUCACUUUGAAAUUUGACUUGUGACAUUGGUAUAUUGUUUAAUGAUUUGAAAUUGAGAUUGGUAUGAGCUUGAGUUGUGAAAUUGAGUUGGUAUGGCCUCGAAUUGAUUGCCAUCUUCCUUUAAUUGACUUCAUCCUUUUUGCUAUGAUAAAAAAAGAGAGAGAAAAUGGUAUAAAAUUUUUUAUUUGAUUGAUGAUCUUGCUGAUAUGAGAAAUUCCUACUUGAUGAUCUUGAUGGUGUGAAAAAUUCUUACUUGAUGAUAUUGACAUUGUUUUUGUUCUUAGUUUUUUUAAAAUCUCUUAAAAUUUCUUUAUGCUUAAAUCCAGAUGAAGCUUAUUUUUCAAAUGAAAAAAUGUUUUUUAAGCAAAAUUUUCACUUGGUUUUGUUAUAUCAAAAAAGGAAAGAUUGUUAGCCUUGAAUUGAUUAAAAGUUUUGAAUUGACAAAAUAAAAAAUUGCCUAACUUGAAUCAAAUUCUCUUAAUCUUAAAUUGAACAUUUUUUCAGUAUUCUAUCUUGCCAAAAUUCAUUUAAGAAUUAAAACAAACAAAUUUUGGAAACAAAACAAGUUCAUGGCAUGUUUUGGAUAGAAAGGAUCGAUCCCCUAUGAGGAGGGAUCGAUCCAUCCUUUGCUCGAUCAAUCCCCUGGCCAAAGGGAUCGAUCCAUUUUUUUUCCAAAAGUAAAACUUUUGAAAAUUGAUUAAGAACCAAUCGAUCCUCUCCCUACAGGGAUCGAUUGGUUAAGGUUUGAACUUACCUGAUCGAUCCCUCUUUUAAAAGGAUCGAUUUAUUUUUUAUAUAGAAUGCAAAAUGGGGUCGAAAAACAACAAAAGGGAUCGAUCCCCUCACAUAAAGGAUUGAUCACCCAAGCACUGGAUCAAUCAGGUAUACUACUUGAUUGAUCGGGUAUGUGGUUUCUCGCACAAAAUUGGGCUUUCUUAUAACUGAUCCAAUCGAUCUCCUACAUGAGGGGAUCAAUCCCCUGAUACCCAGAGAACCCCAAUAGCUAUUUUCUUAUAUGAUAUUUUACAAGUUUUAAGAAUUAAGUGCAAAACAAAGACUAUCUACUCAUUUUUUAUAUAUAAAUGAAGGCUUCUAUCAAGAGUAUGAAAAGCUAAGAAGAACUUAUUACCUCCAUCAACCAUCUUAUUCAAGCAUUCAAACCAAUUUAAAGAGAAAAGUGUAAAAAAUCCUUCAUGUAUUAGUUUUUCUCUAAAUUCUCUUGUCAAUAUUACUUUGUACUUUAAGCUAACAAACACCCAACCUUAGAAAGGUUAUUUAAGUUUGCAAAACACUUCAAAAACUUUGUAUUGUGAGAUUGUGAGCUUAAGGAGGAGGAUAACCC